GACAUAUCCCCUCCCAUCAUGGACCACGCAAGAUUACUGCAAGGUGAAACAAAUUUACACAUAUGCCUGCUUCUAGCCAUAAAUCAGAAUCUAGCUCCAAACCAGUGGAACAGGAUUAUACAGAGAAACAUGUUUAUGUCGCAACAUAUCAUACAAAAAAAACCUUGCAGGUCGGUUUUGGCAGGGAUGAAAAACAGCUGAUGGAUCAAUUACCGUUCACUAAACACUGCGAGCAAAUGAUCCGCCGUGCACAAGAGGAUAGUUCACCACUGCAGGCUGGUUUGUAUGAAUGUUCAUUUCCAGGAUGCCCUCAAAAUUAAAGUAUAGAGCAGAAAGUGAUCAUGGUUCCUCUGCUUGUGUAAACUGAUCUGACUGAGUGAAGAAUAACUGAAGUGAAGGAGGCAGUGUAACAGAUAUUAUGGAGGGUUCAAGCGAAAAGUGAGGUAAUAUUCCCCCAGUGUCACUUGUAUGAGUUUGAGCACCGGAUAAGGUGAGCAGACUAAAAACAAAGCAAAAAUAAAUCAGUCUUUGUUGGAAAAAAAAGGGUUAUAUUUUAGUUUUUAAAAUCAACUUUCAGAGAUUUCUCUGCAGCCAUUCUGAUUUAGCUGAGGGGUCUCAGAUUAAUUGUAAAUAGUAUGUGAUACAACUACAGUCUGACAUAAUGCGGUGAAAUGACCCCCCAAAGAUUUAUUUUUGCUUCCAUAAAAUUUGCAAAAUAAUUAUAUCAUGUUCCCACUUUUCCACUUAAAGGUGGGGUAGGCGGGAUCUGAGGAAGUGCCAGUUUUUGGGGGAAAUCUUGAAUGUAAACGCUACCCCUUCCAACCAGUUUUCCCCUCAGCUCCUCUUCUCCCCUCAGUCUCUGCUCCAGCAAGCCCCGCCCACCAACAGACGCUCCUGCUCGCUCGUAUCGUUUCAAUUAAAUUCAGAUAAAAUGCAGAGAAAUACAUCAGAUAAUUACAAAUGGGGCCAAGUCAACUCAAAAGUAAAAAGCAUUGGUGCUACUGAAGAUGCCCACAGACUACAAGCAAAAAAAAUGUUUGCAGGACUUCUACAACUAGGAUAAAGUGACAUACUCAGGACCAGAGGUAAACAGUUUAGCGGCACUACAACACGCAGCAGGUCCCAUUUUAAAUUGGUUUACCUGUCCAGCAGACAUGUUACAGGGUCCAUAAGAUCCCAAAGUGUCCCCCUCGUUUGUGCUAAUGUUGGGUUCUUAACUCUUUUCCGGUCUACCUCCGUUUUAAACGCCCGUUAUUCCGCCCAAGUCUCUGGUAUUUACUUCGUUUUAUUGCUUGUGUUUUUACGUACUUUCUGGUUGGUUUCUACUGUCCGAUGUAGCCCACUAACUUUGUUUGGACUCAUGCGCGUUAUUGGAGGACGUGGAGCAUGCCUCACAACAUGAGGGAGCAGCGUCUGCCUCACAACCAAUCAGGUUGGGGGAGGUGGAGAAUGGCUUUGUUUACAGUCAGAAAGAGCAGGCAACUCAAAAAUUUUAAAUGUUGACUACAAAGACAACAAAACACAGCGAUAUCAUUAUAUUACCAAACAUCAUCAAUAACUAAUAGCUACUGACUGAUAUUUAAAGCUUUUUUUGUAAAUACGCCACAAAAAAAUAUGCUUCUUUAACGGCAUUGUGCCUAUCCCACUUUUAAGUAAAAAUGACUGUUCAGUUUGGUCUGUUUGUUGGAAACAGCUUCUUAAUUGCUGACGGAGGUUAGAUCAAUAAUUUCAGAUGCUAGGUAAAUUUCAAAGUGAGGUUAGCAGUCCCUAGCAACGUCAUGUCAAUCAGUGGCUCAUGUGUGGCUUUGUUGCUCUGUUUCUUCAUUAUUCCAUGUGUGUCAUGCCUCCGGGAGGAACAUCAAUGUCUGUGUCCCCACAGAGAGAGUGAGCUCAGUCAUUUAAUCAUCAUGUGGCCUUGUCUAAUUGUGUCUCACAGCAUCUUUCUUACCAUUCAUCACCCAUAGAUAAAAGAGAGAAGAAAGUACAGUUGGCUCUGCAUUACAUCUGUGUGAAAGAUUCAACAUUCAAGGUAGGAGAGCAGUGAGCAAGAACAAAAGACACCGGAAAAGGCUGAGGUAUGGAGAAAAUAUAAAGGACACGGAGAGGGGGAGGGACACACACACACACACACACACACGUAUUUAUAAGAGCAGAUAAAAAAAAAAAAACAGGGUGUUGUAGCAAAGAUGCUAAAGCAGUCACACAUGUGAGGGUCAGCGUAUUCACACUCCAGAUUUAAUGAGAGACAGAUGCGUGUGGCUCUACUGUAGACUGCGCCUCCAGUGUGAUCACAGACUGUCGCUCGGAUAUCACACAGAAAAAAGAGACAGCGGAGAGAGAAAAAAGGAGCAGACACAUGGAGUUAUGUUUCCUUUUUGUGCUUUGAGAGCUUGUGGGCAGACCUACACUGGUAGAAGUCCCCUCCCCAACUCCCCCAACCCUCUUCAUUUCCCUCUUUGUUUGAACUCCUCAUUUCUCAAAUUUCUUUUUCUUCUGUGAUUAGCAGUGUCCUGUCAACACCUGCCAUAUUUCUCUGACAAGGUGUCAUUAAGUGCAGGGAGAAAUUUGUUUUAAAUUGAGCACUGAGAGCUCUUUGAGAGUGUUUGUGCAGCACUGUCAGGCUUUUUUAAUUAAGGUGGCUUAGCAAACAUGUUUUCCUGCAGAGUAAAAACAAUGCAGGUCCUUUCAGAGUGUCUCACUGUGAACUGUUGAUAAUGGCCUCACUGUAUUGCCAGCCAUUCACAUAGGACAGCUUCAGCAUAAAUGGUAUACAUCAAAGACAGGCAUUGCGGUCUUUAUUCCUGAAAACUUGGUGCUGUGUACUUCACCUUUGAGUUUGUGUGCAAUUUGAGGCAUCUGUUUUUCUUGUUCAGAAUGAAUCUCAAAUCUGUGAAGGUUGGCAAAGAGUCAUUAAAGAUUAAAUUAACUUUUUCAUAAAUGCUUAAUUAAAUGUAACUCCUGACUUUGAACACUCCACUCUGACAAACAAACACUUUAAAACAGUUAUACUUAAACCUCCAGUGGGAGUGCGUAACACAAAAAUAGAUGAUACACAUAUUAAAAAGUCUCUAUUACAGUUUUUCAUUAGCAUGCAGGGCACUUGGCAAGCUUUCAUGAAUUCUUCAUUCACUCGGAGAUGUAAUGAAGUCUUUUCUUGUAAUUUGCCCCAUCAAUAAUUAGCAGACCUCACUGAAUGGUCUCGGGAAAUGGCCGCUGUGAGAAAUCCUAUACUAUUAAUAUUACAUUGAACUCUUUCUGGCUUAUUAGCAGGGCUAGGUCCUUAAUGAGCCAAUAGCCCUCAGUAUUGUCAAUAUUUUAUCUUUAUGUACCUCUGUUGAUUGAGAUUUGGACAUCAAGCAUUAAGGUUAGUGACCCCGAACAUGAGGGUCAAAGAGGUGAUGGUGGGGAUGUUUUGAUUUUAAACUGGAGAAUAACUAAGUUGAAGAAGUCAAUGUUUUAAAGAUGAUCUGGACAGAAGUUUGAUUCCAGGUGACUCUAACGGUGCACACGUUUUCAAACUUUUAUGACACUUUCCCUCUAGCGUGCCGUCCAUCUUUCUCAGACUCCAGUUGUUUAAAAUGUCGCAUCUGUAUCAGUUUCAAUCUGGUAUUGAAAUCUUAUUUGGUUGAUUGCUAUCUAGUAUUAGCUAAUCCGUCUUACUUGUUUCUUUGUUUUCCAAAAUAAAUCUGAGUUAAAUGAGUUUGACACAGGCUUUGAAGAUGACCAAACUGGAUUACCGGCUUACAGCUGUUUUAACUUUUUUGUAUUCUUUUGGAAAGCAUGAUGUUUGGAAUCAAAUAUUUGAGUUUCAUCUUUUCUUCUUUUUUUUUUUCCUGGACAAAAAAAACAAACAAGGAUUUUGACAUAAAGGGGGACUAACUUUAGUUCAGAAUCCAACUUUUGGAGACGUAAAAAAAGAUAAAGUAAAAAAACAUAUUAUCUUUCCUUGCACCUCUGAAACUAAUGUAACAAACAGAACAUGACUAAGCUGAGUGAAUGUGCAGAAACUAAUCUGAUCUGACCUCACACUUUUUCUUCUUCUAUUUAGUACAGCAACAAACAAUGAAGAGGCACGGUGACAGGUUACUGCUAUGGCUGUGCACUACAGUGUCAAGCUGGUCAGGUUUUUGACGACUGGGCCGGCAGGUGCUCUCCUGUGAUUUGCCUCGUCCUCCAGCAGCAUGCCAAUCAGGCUCCACCAACCAGCAGCGCAGGUGACACAAAUCACAGCCUAAAUGAAUACUCACUGAGCCACACACACACACACACACACACACACACACACACACACACACACACACACACACACACACACACACAGCAGUGUCAAUAAACCACACAUGAGAGAGGGUGUGGCAGCUGUCAUAACACACUGGACCCUAUGUCUUUAGGGCAGCUUUGCAGCGGGAGGACCUCUUGAUAAUGUUAAACAACUCUGGUGUUAGUCAAAAGAGUCUUGAACCACUUGCAACCUCUGCUCUUGAGGAAUGAAGCCAAUGCUCAGUUUCCUGAGUGCGUGCUCAAGGCUGCCUGUAAAGGCUCCUGAAACCACAUACACACCCAUUCAAAAAAGGCCGUCUUCACAAGAACAAAACAAACACGUUACAUAGUAGUGUGGUAGGUAGGGUUGCAAAAUUACAGGAAUUUUCAAAAUUGAAAACUUUCCAUGGGAAGUAACAGGAACAUAUGGAAAUUAACAGGAAUAAAUCAGAAAUGUACAAAAUUGAAGGUUGGCCCUCAACAGGGAACUUAAAUACAGCUGGGGAAAAAAUAUUGUCGCAUAAUCUUGGCCAAAGCAACCAGAUUUAAUGCAAGUACACUCCUCAAUCACAUGCACAGAGCACACUGUGUACUGCAGGGCUAUUGAGGCCACACCCCCUACAUGCACUGUGCAUUCCUCCAUCACAUGCACAGUUGAUUUCUUGAACCCUGGAGACCACACUUUUGAGCCCAGAGCACAAGACAUUUGAGCCCACAGACUAUAUAAAGUCAAGUAAGUUUUGAUGAUAUUACAGGGUAAAUAUAUUUGAUCUAUAAUAGGAAUAAUAUUUAACUUGCAAACAAAUUUAAUAAAAAUAGGUGCUAAAUGUAAGCUAUUUUUCAUUUCAUUGACUAUUUAAGGGGUUAGCUUAUUAUAGUGGUGGUAGCUACCUCAAAUGUGAUGCUGUUUUAUCUGACUCCUGCAAGACUGCUUUAUAAAUCAAUUGUCAAAUAUUUUGAGGACCAAUCCAGUAGUUUAGCCAGCUAUAUUUCUGUUCAUGCCAUUGCAUUAGUGUUUUUACAAGCUUUUUUGUUGUUUUAUUCUACAGAAAAAUGCCACAUUCACCAUCUGAUGUGUGGAAGUAUUUCACUCAAGCAAAUGUUGGAGGAAAAAUAUUUACAUUUAUGUUUGGAUAUGAUACAGUUUGGUUAAAUUACCCCCAAUUUUCAGUUAAUUCCCAUAAAUUCCCAAUAAUUCCCAUAACUCCCAUGGAAAGUUUCGAAUGUGGAAUAUUUCCAAAAUUCCCAGGCUUAACUUCCCAUGGAAAGUUUCUGGAAAUUUAUCGGAUUUAUCCGCCCCUUUGUAACCCUGAUGGUAGGAAAUUGAGAUUUUAAAUGUUAAUCAGAUUACACUGCAACAACAGAACAUAGGCAUGGCUUUUCAUCUAUUUAGGUAUUUUAACUAAGUUCAGUUUCAGGUACAUGCAGCUUUGUUUCACCUCCACUUCUCUUUGAAUCUGCUCACUAUUUGCAUGAGCGCCUGUUUUUUUGUUUGUUUGUUUUGUGUUUUUGUCUUUCAUUUCUGCAGCACUCUAAUCAAAACUCUCCCCUUAAUUGCUGAAGGAGCGAUUAGGUACUGGCAGCACAGUCAGGUGCAUACUGUACUCUGUACUGUGCUCUUUAAUGGCGCCACAUGUUUAUUAGCCUGAGUCCACCUACACACAGUCCUAAUGGGCUGCACAUAGGCCAGAACAUGAAUAUGCAUUCUCACAUUGGUCAAUAAUUUCUAAAACUGGAGCACAGAAUGAAAAGGAACAACAAAUAGUGUCUCUCUGUAAUUGGCUGUCAGCAAAGGUAAUAUGCAAAUUUGGAGCCUUUCUUCCCCUGGUAUUGUGUGAAUAGAGAGCUGCUUUUUGAUAUGUGUGAAUAGGCCUUGAUCAGAUGCAGUCACUUAGAUAAGACUGCCAUACUAACAAACCUGCGUCAGAGCUUAUGUGUUUUUUUUUUUUUUUUUCGUUUUUGGUCUCUGAAACUCCGGCUUUGUUUCUCACUUACCUGUGUUCUUCAUCAAGUCUCUCUCUUAAGUUUGAAGUCUUUUAAAUUUACAGCAACUGCAUGACAAGAAGGACAUUCACAGAGAGCAGAUUGAAACAUGGUGGUGGUAUCACAAAUAAUUAAGGUUUUGGGUGACACAAAAAGCAGCCAGGACUUUGAAUAACAGUGACCAUUAACCAUAAAUCAAACACACCCAGAAAGAAGCUGUUUUUUUCAUCAUAAGUCGACACUCUGUCAGCAUACAAUGAUGGAAAACAAUAAAGAUGUUAUCCUCUACACCGUAGCCUGACAGCUAUUGAGCUGUCAUUAUACCAUCGUGAAGUCAUUUCCAUGCCUAACUUGAAAGCAUAUUAUUAUGAUUAAAAACAACAGUGAAGUGUCAAUCAAUGCCAUGCCAUUAUUGCCUCCUAUUUUGUCUCUUGAGAUACCCACUCGCUCUGGUUUCAUUUUUCGGUCCAUUUUCUAUUAUGAUCCUAUUAUGAUCACAGUGGGGGGCACAUUAUAGCAUACAAUCCUGAAAACCCUCGGCAAAGUGUUUUCUUAACCCUUUGAUGCGCAACAUGGGUCAAAAAAGACCCGGCUGAGUUUAAAUUUUAUAUAUCUUUUCAAAAAAUUAAUUCCAUCAGUCGGUACUCAAGGAAUUCCUCAAUUAACUUGUUUUUGACGACCCUACAUCCUUAUGUUAAUUUUUCUUUUUUUACUUUUAGAAUAAAAACCGUUUUUGUAUUACUACCCCUCUAAUGCACAACAUGGGUCUAAAAUGACCCGUAUCCAUUUUCAAUGUUAUUUCAUGUUUGGCUGAGUGUUUCUAUGGUAUAUCUUUGAAAUAAAUUAAUUUUAUCAUUUACUAUUCCAAGUAUGCAGUACAGGUCCUUUUUUUAGUUGAGCACAAAUAAUCAUUUUUAUUUUUAUUUUCUUACGUUAUGAGGAAGCACAGAUUUUGUAUUUCUACAUCAAGUUUAUAUACAUGGGUCAGAAACGACCCACAUACGGUGACUGUAGCAUUUAGCAUGAAAAGACCGUCUAAUACAUGUAAGUAUGGUUUUUCAAUUGUUCUGACAUUAUCUUAGAAAUUAUUGGAUGACAAUUGUGAAAUAUAAUUGUACAUAGAUUUGAUUUGAUUAGGUUCAGGUUAUCUUGAGAGUGAGGACAUUACAUGUUGGAAAGUUACACAGUUACAGGUAAAACAGCUAGGGUUAUUUCAGCUAGCUAUAAUCAGACGCAUGUGUAUGUGACAAAAUGACAAAUAAACAUGUUGCUGAUACAAAAUACAAAAGUGUUUGGCCCAUAGACUAGAAUGGACAGCGUCUGCCUCCUUGCUGGGUGAAGCCGAGAACAGCACCCCCUGUUUACAGGCUGCAGUAUAGGUCAUAAAUCCCGCCUCCGCCAGCAAACCUUAUGGAGCUGUGGACAAACUUUAGAAAUUUAUUACACAGAACAAAGAUUUUUCUCCCCCCUGCUUGUGAUGUUGACAUGUAGUUAUUGUAAGACUGGUUUGUGCUCAAGUCCUCUUUUUUCUGUACAGCUCUGUUUUUAAAAGUUAUUAGGGGGUUCAUGUUUUCUAUGAUUGACACCUGAUACAGCCUAUGGGCGUUCAGGGAUUGCGUAGCUUUCCCGGGGGAUACGCUGUUUGAGCCGAGUGUCAUCACAGCGACUCUCUUCAACCGUGCGGCCAAAUACGCGCAUUGCUACUGCGCAGCGCUGGUUUCAGGAAAUGAAGAAAACCCUGGAAAUAUUGAGAGCUAUUUGGCUUCAAAUCUGUAUACAGGCAGUAGGCGGAACAAAGUUGUCCAUAGUAUAUACAGUCUAUGGAUACAGCCUAUGGGCAUUCAGGGAUUGAGUAGCUCUCCUGGGGUGAUACGCUGUUUGAGCCGAGCGUCAUCACAGCGACUCUCAGCGACUGCGCGGCCGAAUGCACGCAUCGCAACUGCGCAGCUCUGGUUUCAGAAAUGUAUAAAAGUCCCGGAAUUACCAAGAGCUUUUUGGCUCCAAAUCUGUAUACAGGCGGUAGGCGGAACCAAGUUGUCCAUAGUAUAUACAGUCUAUGGUUUGGCCCCACUCACUGCUAAUUUCAUUACUUGAAACAAAUUAUUAUUAUAGUGUUAGGUAAUUCAAUAUUAAAUCACACUUGGAUGAAUGGGUCGUUUUUGACCCAUGUGUGUUAACUUGAUGUAAUAAUAUAGAAACUAUAUUAUUUCAUAAAGUAUGAAAAGAAAAAUAGAAAUAAUGAUCAGUGGUGAUCAAAAACAAGAUAUUUAAAGAAUACUUGGAAUAUUCAAUCAGAAAAUAAACUUAUUUCAAAAGAUAGAACAAAGAAAAACUCAGCCAGCAUGAAAUACCAUUGGAAAUGAAUGCGGGUCUUUUUAGACCCAUGUUGCGCAUUAGAGGGGGUGUGGAUAUGUUGCGCAUCAAAGGGUUAAACUUGUGCUGCUGUAAUUCCCAGAGACCAGAUAAUACAGAGGCAUGAAAAUGGUGAGAGAAAACUUCAAAAUAAAUAAAUAAAUAAAUAAAUAAAUUUCCACUUAUAGUGACAUACCAUAUCUGGAUUUAAUUAUAGAUCACAGUAUUUUGCUGCAAUUAUAUUGUAACAUUAACUUUCACAUCUAGAAAUUACAGUGAACAGUCAUCAAUGAAACAACUCCAUAAAAAUGUGGUUUACACAGCUUAAUUUUCUUUGUUCCAUUGCCUACUUAUAUCUAUAUCUACUUAUAUCUAAUUUGUUGAGUCAAAUACCUUUCUGUCAAAACCUUGUCUUGACCAAUCUCACUUGAUGGAGCAGCCUAUACUUACUCCAGAGUAUUAAACAGCUUGACUGGUGGCUUAACAAACCAACAUAUGAAGCUGUUGGUACUCUAGUGCCAUUCGUGAACCCUGCACUGUAAUCUAUUUGAAGUGCUGUGUUACACAGAUGUCAUACUGUAAACCUGUGAAGUCUGUUUGAUCCAAACAUGUUAAAUAAACAAUAAGAUUCCCCAACCAAUGACUUAUUACCAGAACUACAUAAGAAUAACAUCACUUUACACCACAGUAUUAUGUGUUUGUAUAAUUUUAACUUUUCAGGGUAUUUCUUAAGUGUCAGUUUUUUUAGGUUCAUAUUGUAUUGAAUAUUAAGACAUACGAUUUUCUGUCACUGGCAACAAUGAAAUUUUUUAAAAUCUGAUUCUGAAUCCAAGCAAGACUGUACUCAGGAGACUGGAGUUUGAUUCUUUUGUUCAAUAUGAACUUCCUUCCGCUCACAUAACAUACUUCAGUUACAUUUCAUACAUGCAUUAUUCAUGCCAUGUAAGCUGCUUUUAUACUCAUCAUGCAUUAGUUAUGUAGUUUGCAUGCAUUCAUUAGCAUUUAUCUAAACCAGAAUUAUGGUCCCAACCUAAUCCUGUAGUAUUUUAUGACCAAUUUUAACUGUGUGUUUUAUGUUUAAGACUCAUAAAAUAUGAGUAGAAAGUCAAAAAUUAGUUAGUAUAAGAAAAGAUGUUAUUUUAGGCUGGGAUUAGUCUGUUUUAAAGGGGGAGAUCAGUAGAACAGCUAGCUGCCAGAGCUAUCAUAAGGAAAGUGAAGAAUCUUGAGAAUUAAAAUUUUGUUUAGGUUUCAUAUAAAACUGAAUUCUUGAUCUUUUAGCAUAGGAACUCCACACUGUUGCAAGUAUCAGGAUUCUGAAUAAGUUGUGCAAGAAACUGAGUCUAUUAUGAAGAAUGACAGACUAAUGGGAAGCCUGUGCACACUCCUGCAACCACUGAGCAGAACUUCACAGGAUGACCCAUAUUCCUCAUUAUGGUGCAGGCAGCUGGCUGCUCCUCUGAUAUUAUUCUAUGUGUUAUUUCAUAUGUUAAUUGAACAUAGGCCAUUAAUAUAAUGUCUCCAAACCUCAUUACUGCUAGCAGACUAACUUUACACAAAGAAACUGAAGUCUGGUGACAAUAUCCAGGAGCCUCCAAGUGGAUAUUUGUCAGAGUCUGGAAAUGUUGCAGCUUAUAAAGACCACCUGAUCAGGAGCAUACUGAUUUUAAGAAUAAUGUAUAUGAGAAGUUAAUGCAUUGCAAGUAUUUAACCUCCAAAUCUCUCUCUUUUCGAUAGCUAUGUAGCCUCAGUCCUCGAUCAUCACUUUAAAAGUUUAACUAGAUGUUGAAUUUUAGUAUUGGUUAUUUGACUGAAGAGUAUUACAUGUCAUCACCCUAUUAAAAUAAUGGCCUAAGUAAUUUUUUGAUGAAAAUGAGUUUUUGGCCUGAAUCAUCUCUUGAUAAUGCUGACCACCUCUGGUAACAUCGCCUAAAUCCUUAGUUGAAAGGAUCAUGGCAUGAUCCUUAGGUCAAAACUCAUUUUCGUCAAAAAAUUACUUAAACCAUUAAUUUAAUAGGGUGAAGAUAUGCCAAACUGACAGCAGAGAGUCGCCUUGUCCUUCAUAUUUUGAAGCUUAGACCUACUGACCAAACUGCCUUAAUAGGUAAAUUGGGAGUGAGAAUGCAGCUGAUAAACUGAGGCUUAACUCUGGCAACAUAAUCCCACAAUUCCACGUCUAUUAACACAUUUUUACUCCCUUCUUGAAUUGCUAAAUUGUAUUUAAUGCACUAAAAUACAUCAUCUACUAUGCAGUACACUGGAGAGAAGAGUAUGAACAAGAUAAACAGUUCUCUGAUGAAAUAUGACCAAAACUGUGAAAAUAGAUUUGAACAAUCUUCUUCUGACUUCAGGACCUUGAUGGUAAUAAAAGGAGAUUGAUUAAGAAAAUGUGUUUUCAGGGCUUUCGAGAAGUAGUUAGUCUAAAACAAAAAAAGCAAUCAAAAGAUGCUUAAGCAGUGAUUUUAAAGGUGCAUCUAUAAUUCUGACACUAAUAAUCCUUUUCCAAUCACUCUCAUGCAGACACACAGUGUUCUCUGAAACAUUGCUGACUACACAGGCUUUGCUGUGUGACAGCAUAGACCUUGACUGGAGAUCCAGGGCGCUUUGAGCUGCCUAGAAUGAAUUCCUUAUCUGCAUAAUCGUGGCUCUGCAUUUCUCCUGCUUUUUUACAUAAAAGUAUGCGAGUGAGCUAAUCAGACUUCCUUGGGUCAAAGUUCACUGUGCCGUAGGAGAGAAGGAUCCUCCCGGGAAGGGCAUGUCCAGAUGUGUUUUUUCCAUUUCUUCACAUCUCUUCUAUUUUUCAUUUUUUACCUGCUAGUGGAGCAGAACAGCAUGCCGACAGCUGCAUAUUAGACCUAUAAGAAUGGUUAAGUAAUGUAUUCAGGGAUGCAUGGAUUCUGUAUUUUUCUCUAUUAUGUGAAGGUGUUAGGGCUAUUUGUGGGGUAUAUGUUACAUUCAUACACCACUGCUCCAACAAUUGCCUCUGACAAAGGGUUUCUCAGGGUUGUUGUUGCACUGUCAGUCAAAAGACAUGGAGCAAAAACAACCUUAUACACAUCUCUGGCUAUAUUCAAUUCAUUAUAUGGAAUUAAAUACGAAAGCCUAUGUUAGGAGGUAUAUUUAAACACCUUUAUCAGAAUUUUCUUAUAGAUGAAGUCCCCAUAAAUGGGCCUCUUCAGCAUUUUUUUUUUUACAUCAGCAUCAGAAAACACAUGGUGAGUUUCUGUGCUUUUAGACACUAAUAGGUGGGGUAGGCAGGUUCCGAGGAAGUGUCGGUUUUUGGGAGAAAUCUUGAAUGUAAACUCUACCCCUCCCAACCAGUUUUCCCCUCAGCUCUUCCUCUCCCCUCCCUCUCUGCUCCAGCAAGCCCCGCCCACACUUCUACAAUUAGGAUAAAAUGACAUACUUCAGGAUCCAAGGUAAACAGUUUAGUGGUACUACAACAUGCAGCAGGUCCAGUUUGACAAGAAACACUUCUGUUACAGACACUUGGCUUACUUUGUUAAAGCGGUUUACCUGUCCAGCAUCAAGGUUAUAAGAUCAUUUAUGCUGAUGUUGACCUGGCUUCUUAGCUCUUGCACGGUCUACCUCCGUUUUAAGCGCCGUUAUUCCGCCAGAGUCUCCUCUCCAGUAUUUACUUUGUUCUGUUUAUGUGUUUUCCAUAUUUUCUGGUUGGUUUCUACUGUCCGAUGUUGUAGCACGCAAACUUUGUUCUGCUUCGUGCAUGUUGUUGGAGGAUGUGGAGUGUGCCUUACAACACGAGGGAGCAGCAUCUGCCUCACAACCAAUCAGCACUAAGGAGCAGCAUCUGCCUCACAACCAAUCAGCACUAAGGAGCAGCAUCUGCCUCACAACCAAUCAGCACUUAGGAGCAGCAUCUGCCUCACAACCAAUCAGCACGGGGGAAGUGGAGAAUAGCUUUGUUUACAGUCAGAGAGAGAAAGAGUGGGCAGCUCAAAAAAUGUAAUAUGUUGACUACACAGACCUAAAAAAACACAACGAUAUCAUGAUUUUCCCAAAUGUCAUCAAAAACUAAAGCUAUUGACUGAUAUUAAAAGCUUUUUUUGUAUAUACACCACAAAAAAAAAGCUUCUUUAACGGAAUCCUGCCUAGCCCACCUUUAUCGCGUAAAGCUAAUUAUUUGAUCAUAUGUGAAUAUUUAUACACUGGGGUUUUGUAUUGGCUUUGAAGAUGCACCAUUGCUGACACAAGGAAUAAUAUGUUGGAUGAUUAUAUUUCUACUGUAGCCUAGCAGGCAUAAGGAAAGGGCUGAGGAGGGGUUAAAGCCAAUCCUCACUCCAAACAUCCUGCUCAGAAUAAAAUAUACUCCCAAUCAUAACCAAACUGCUUUAUCUGACUCCCGUGCGCAGCAGCAACAGAUUAAAAAAGCAAAGCAAGGGAGUGUGAAUGUAAGUGUUCUGUUACAUGAUGCAUAAUUGCCCUAUUAAUUGCCUGUUUGCUGCAGAACUGUUGCUGGGCUCUGGUAUAAUAUCUUAGAGCAUGUCCCAGUGGGGUGAUUCUCCCCUCUCCUUCUCCCGGCUUUCGUCUAUGUCCUCCGUCUUCCUUCCUGUGGCCUGUGUUUAUGUACUGAGGCAGAGAGCAGCAGUCUCAUCACCAUCAUUUGGAUGAGAGAUGGAGUCAUCAUCAGCCAAGUCCCUUUGCUGCGGCCCCUUCAAAAUUGGAAGGGGGAGGGGGGUGAGUUACCAUGACAACCACAUCAUAUUGGUCAAUGUGAGACCAGUGAGGCCAAAAAACUUUCAGUUGUAUUUAAUUGUGCUUUUUUUUCUUUCUAUGACCGCCCUGGUAUUGCCGGUAGUCGGAGAUGGAGUUGUGGGUGAAAGGGGGGAAUAAAAUUGUAAUGAGGCAGCUGUGAGGGACGCCAAUCUGCGGGGAAAGCUACUUUAUGUAGAAAUCCAAUUUAAGAGAUUGGCUUAGCCACUGAGUCACUGAAGGUAAAUCCAAUGGUAAUUAUAGGUAAAUCAAAGGUGAAAGCAUACACAACACUCCUGUACACAGCUCUCUUACUCACUCCCCCCUCUUAUUUUCUCUCUCUCCAUCCCCCCACUAUACUCAUUACUGCACAUCACUAUGCUACUUACUUAACAGCGGCACAGGCAGGGUGCAUAGAGUAAAAUGUAAGCAUAAACAUGUAUUUAAGCCUUCAUGGCUUAAAGGGACUUGACACAAAUGCACUCCCUUCAUUCUGCAUCAUGCUGAGGAAAAAGCAGUAAAUAUAUGGAAUUUUGCGACGUUUAAUAGGGAUGGAUGUCCAAUCAGUGUUGGUGGUAAAUGCAGUCAAUUCAAACAAUAAAUACCUCAUUUAGAGUAGGACUGCUCCUGUAAGCUGAGUUUCACAUGAGGGCAUAGUGCAGCUAGCUGUGCCUACAGCGACUAGAAUGAAUUGUGUACAUAUGGCUGCUUCAGUAUGCUGCAUUUCUCCAGCCUAAAACUGGAUGUUGCUUUAAUAUACAUGGCUGAUAACGGAAUCAGCCAAAACUCUUUGAAACAUGUAUAUUCCAUAACAUCCACUGCAAUUGAAUUUUUGGAAGCCAUCUUUUUGCAAACAGUUUGCAAUUUAGGGGAAAGUGUAGAUCACAAAUCCCAGCUGAAAUGACCUGUCGCCCUCUGUAACUGUAAAAAUGCACAUGUUAAAUGAUUAUAAACCUCUUCUGUUUUUACAGCACAAGAAAAUGGAUAUGAAUUUCGUGAAAAAAUGUAAGGAACUUUCAGUUUGUCCCAAGUGUCUUUUGAUACAUGAUCUCAUCCUGCUGAAUUUUCACAGCUAAGUGUAUCAUUUAUUGUAAAGAAUUUAAAUGGAACUGUAAAAAUGGGACUGUUUCCUCAGCUGCUUAACUGACACCUACCCCUCACUCCAGUCUCAGGCAUUAAAAAUGAGGAUAUACAUGUGGUCACUCUCGCCCUGAUGGUUUUGUUUACUCUUGGAUGUCAUGAAAGGGUAUCAAUAUGAAUUUCUGUCAAUUUCAUAAAUCUCAAAAAAUGACUUAAGGCUCAUUUAUGCUCAACAUUACAUACGGAUCUGAAUAUGUUCGUGCUUCGCGUUCUUCUGCACGUAUCCUUGAAGUUAGCGGAUAUGGGCCAGAUGGAGUAGUACCACCAGAAACCAUGGGGGCAGUGUUGCUGCUGUCACUACCCGAUAAGCAUCUCUAGAGAGAAAUGAAGAAGACAAUGGAGGGCUCUACAGUCACUGUGUUACUUUUUGUUUGUUGUUGUCAGAAACUUUGGACUCCAGCCUGCCCCCUGGUGGAUGUAAUGGUUAACAUCCAUGCCAACAUAAAGGACGCAUGGAAGUAUGUGGGCAGUGACGGAGCCAUGUUUGAAACGGACGCAUACAUUUUCAUAUGUAUGGUGAGCAUAAAUGAGCCUUUAGAGGAACUUUAAGUGAUGCCUUAAGGUCAUGUUUUGAAUUGAAAUGCUCCCCUACUCACCCCACCUGUAGGAUAAGCAACGGUGGCUUAUGAGGAAAAAAGCUCUAUUCUUUUGCACACAACAGCCACCUUUUUCUUCUUUAUCUUCCAACUACAGCAUUUCAAGCAGACUCUCGCUUAAUACAAAAACACCCAUGUAUAGAUUUUCCAUUCUGUUCUACUUUGGAAACACAAUAGUUUAAAAUGGCCAGCCUCUGUAAGUCAAAGCCUGAUCAUUUAUAACUAUAAAAAGGCUAAACUGUUUUAUAUUCAGAUGAUUAUGCACUAAUCCAGAGUACUUACAAACAUUACAGUCCAUUUCCUACAAGUCUGUUCUGCUAAAUGCUGAUAACAACUACACACUGUGCGUUUAACCUUUGGCACUACCAUCCAAGAAUUUCCAGUAAUGUGGACAUCCUUUUCUUUUGAUUAUUUUGGCACCUGACCCAUGAUCAUACCCUUGCCUUUUCAAAUCACCUCCAAGCGAUAUCAUUAACUACAGCUAAAACAGUGAUGAUAAUGAUAGCAGAAGUGUGCCAACUCUUACAUCUCUUGCUGGGCUAGUGCCAACUUCCCACUAGGAGAGGAAGAUUGUGAGUGGGAGGCAACAAAAACAGUUGAUCUUCAUAAACAAAAGAAACUGGUUUAUCAGACAAUAGCAAAAAAAAAGAAAUAUUAAGAACAGAGUAUUGCUAAGACUUUGACAUAUAAUCCAUGGUUUGACAUUAUGGAAUGACAUUUUCGAAGUUGCUUCUCUGCUUUCCUAUUUGUUCUGCCCUCCAAGACGCGCAGGAGCAGUAAUAUGAAGAAUGUAGAAAAAGGGCUAAUAAAUAGGCAAGCUAGCAGCUCACAAGUCAUUUAUCCUGACCUUUUAUUUCAGGCAAAUCAAUUUUCUGUAAUAUGCCACUAAUAUGAAGACAUCUUUUAUUUGUUGGGCUCUCAAACUAAAUUGAUGCCUUUUAGUAGGGUUGUGGCUGGACAUCCUACCAUUGCAUUUGAUUUGUUGCCUGAGUUCAGCCACUUUACAGCUUCAAAAUGGUUCACAGAAAAGAAUGGUGUGAGAUGGUGCGCAGUACGGGGGAGCAAACACAAAGAAAGAGAGCUCACAGAGAUUCAGAGGAGAUUGCAGGGCUAAGUGGUUUUACACCUGAAAGUAGAAACCCAUUGGAUUGUGAGGCUAUGUUUUCUUUCAUAUUAGUGUAACAGGUUAAAAUGUCUCCUCUAAAGGUAUAAAAGGCAUCUGUAAAACCUCAUUCAAUUCAAUUCAAUUCAAUUACCUUUCCCUUACACGUAUUUCACUUACAACUCUUAUCUCAUGACUCUUGACAUAGAAAAAAUACUUUAGAAUUGUCUCUUUUAUGACUUGACUCUGACUUGCAUUGAUUGCCAUAGGACUUGAAAAAGAGGGAGAGGGGCUCAAGUUUAUCAAUUGGUAAGCAUGUUCUACUUUCUUUGUGCUUCUUCUUUCAUUGUAGAAGACACUAAAAUUACUUAUUCGGUUUGUGGCAAGGGCUGGCACAUGUUAGCCUGCAUGUGUAUUUGCAUGCUGUCUUGUACGACAACAGUUCCUGUCUAGAUGUUUAAGACGUGCCACGAAACUUGCGUGUUGCUUUCAAAAAUCACAACGCAAAUGUGAGCAAAAGCCGUACAACAUGUCUGAUUUGUCAGAGAAUCAACAAAAAAACAGGGGCAACUUUAAAUUUAAUCAGAAAUCUGUUUGUGUUAGUAACUGAAGGUCAUUAAAAUGCUGUAGCUACGGACACUGAUGAAAAUGUUACUCUUAGCAUGCUGCAAGCUAAUUGUCCUGAGUUAGGGUGACCAGAUGUCCAAGAUUUUUGGGGACAGUCCUCAUUUUGGAUGACCUGUGCCUGGCUAAAGCUGUCCCCGGAAUUGUCUUUGAUUUUUGCGUUUCAUGCAUGAGUGUUGCGUGUAUACUAGAAAACGGUUAAUACAGUAGCCGGGUAGGAGGUGAGUAUGAAUGAGCAUGUUGCGCACAGUCCUGAACAACAGUUAUUGCGGUAACUGGUCACGUAAAGUGCACCACAUCCAAACAAAAAGAAGAGCGGAGCACGCUUUUUCCCACUGACAUGAAUUGAUGGUGUAUGCAUGCAUGCAGAUGGCUCUAGAAACAGCGGAGAUAAGACCCUCUCAGAUUCAUAGUGACCCCAAUUUGCCCCCCAGUCCUUACAUAAUGUGACAGAUUAAUGUUUUGUUAAUUUGACUAAUUUUCUUGACAAUAUUCAUUUCUUUUAUUUUAUCUCUAAGCUGGAAAUGUCCCCAGAUUUAAUCUCAGAAAUCUGGUCACUUAUCGGAGUCACAUGCUUGAUACAGCUGGUGUGUUUUGUGUAAUUUACUGAGGUGUAAUGGAACGGCAAAGUUGCGCAGCACUCUGGGGCACUGAUAUAUUAUGUUUUGGAGUGGGGUGUGUAAAUUAAGGCGUAGUGAUGGUUGAAUAUUACUGCAGUGUGUUAGUGGCUAACGCAAACAAUUUAAGUGACUCAACCACUGGGUCCAAGACGUGUGCUCAGUCAAAAUAGUUGGUGGGCUGGUAUUUUUUGAGUAAAUGGACACCUGUAUGAUCUUACAAUCAGUCAGAUGCUAAUGUUUAUAAUUGAAACGUGUUUUCUAUACAUCCAAAACAUCCCCACAGUCAUUAUAGAUCCAUACAUAGAGUCGUAAAACCUCUGUCAAUGAGAGCCCGACGCAACUCAGUUAAUUGGGAUAUGACUCGGGUAAUAGAGACCUGACAGAGGCUCUGUAAUAGAGAAUUGGCUUAGCUGUUCAUGUUUUUUUUCUUCCUUAAAUUUCUGUAUUGAUGCAACUGGGGAUAACAUAAUUAAUGUGUAAAUAUGUCAACAUAAUGACAGUGACCGUGACAUUAAUGUAAUUAUAAGAAUGUAGCAUUUACUUGCCAUGCCACUGUAACUUAUUUGCUCCUUGGAAAAAUAAUAACCGUGUCCCACACUGCUGAUUAGGCAAUGCUUCAUUUCUAUGUGACUUCAUCAUUCAUUUAUAUGUGGAAAUAGAAAAGGUAGUGCGUUGAAGGCCUGAGGCGCUGCUUUUGUAUAUUUGUACUGACACAGUUUAGUGUCUUGAAGAACAGUGAUUCAGUAACAGCCUAACCCAAGGGUGCUCCGCGCCUUCAUAUCUGUUCAGUGUGCAUUAUCUGUUCAUAUUUGAAUAUCUCUGUUCUUGGAUUCAUUCAUAGCUGAUGCUGUAUUUGCUGACACCUCAUAGUAAGUAAAGUCAACCUAGUUAUAGAGAAGGGGAAACCCUGUGACAGGGUAAUUUAUUUACGCUGUCAACAUGACAUUUGUGCUUAUUUCUGCCUAUUUCCAUAGCUUCGGUUGUAUAAACAGCGAGAGAGUCACGUUAAAAGUCAAUCAGAUAGCAAAUCUUAUCACGGUUAACAUUUGGUCCAAACAUCCGUGAGGCCACUGUUGCUAGGGAAACCUUCACAGGUGGGCUGAUUGUAAUCUUUCAUGGGGAAUGCUGGAAGGGUUGCAUAUGCACAGAUCUGACAAUGCUGUGACAAACAGCCUGUGCUAUUGAAGACCAAUAAAACACAGUGCAAGAAUACAUCCCUCUGAAAAAACUACCAAGUUGAACCAUGAAAGCUUAACAAGCUCCAGGCUACUGAUUUGGUGAGCUCAUUCUGCCACUGAUCACCAUCAGUUUGUUGAAUAUUGAAUGUCGACUGAUACUUUUACUUGACCAGGACAUAGAUCUGUUUUCUCUUUGUUUACAUAAAUAGCUAUACUCAACAAAAUAACUAAUUCCUCAUCCAAGAUUGAUUCAAAAAUGCUUUGAUUGGCUCCUUCAAAAUAGCUGAGAUCAGCAUCAGGCUAUCCCUCCUAGCUUUCCUUAAUCUCUCUGAAUAGAUAUCUGCAUGAUAAUGAAACUUGAAUUCUGCUCGAGAACAUUGCAUCUCUACUCCUCGCUCUAUAGAAGUCCAUUCCCAUUUCUCAAUUUGCUUGCUUGGUCUAUAAAUAAUCAAUGACCUACUUAGGGGAAAAAAAAUCAUUGGUGAAAGUCCACCAUUUUCAACCCCCGGCUAAACUGGAAGCCACAAAAGGUUAGCUACUGCUCUCUGAGGCUUUGUCAUCCUUACAUUGGGCUUCGAGAUCAAGGCUUACAGACAUUUUAGCAGACCUAUUAACUUUUGUCAAUUUAUUUGCUUCUUUAUCCUGCUACAUAUAAAGAAACUUCAAGGGGGAUAUACGAGGACCACCAGCUGCAUUAGUGAGAUUUUAGCCUCAGAAAACAUUUUUGCAAACAAGUAUUUGGCUUACGAAUGCCAGCACCGCUUAUUGCUCAACAACCUUGCAUUGUCAGGGCCUCCCUCAAAUGUCUGCAUUUUUUACCCUUCUCACUUACCUCCAUUUCCCAAUUUAUAUGUAAAUUCCCUCUUCCUUAAACAAUGCAUUAUGCACAUCUAUCCUUUAGUGGCAGAGGCCCAAAAAACCUACAGUAAAUAGCCUGAGCCUUCACAUGGAAAGCAGCCAUGUGUGUCAUUGCAAUUUAGUACCUUAACUGUGGCCUUGUGAAAGCAACUAAUAGCACCUUGAGUGUGCAUUUUCUACCAUCUGUGGCAGUUUGUGACCAAAAAUAUUUUAUUGUUCAUGCUGUAACAAACCUGGCAAUAAGGUAAGAAACAGGGACAAACUCCCAGAUUAACAAGAGUGUGCAGUAGGUGUGUGUGUAUACAAGAGUGAACAUCUUUCCCAUCCACAAGUGCAAUUUCCACUGAGGAAACCAUCCAUCCCUCACAAACUAGGCUGCUAUGUAGCUAUCAUCCUUGCUAGUUACUAACCCGCUUGUCUUAUCAACAGCCUUGUCUAAUCCAGGAACUGCAUCCCUGCAAGGACACACACUGCUCUAACCAUCCAGGCCAAAUGAAAAUGAGACUGUCUGGCCUAGAGAAUUUUACCUUUACAUCACAAGCUGUUCCUGCCAAUGUCACAUAUACAGCUACCUGUCUGAUCCUGGAUAGAUCCUUCAUGGCUCAGGAAAAGAUGGACUCAUUUGUCAGCUGCAUGCAUCCUUCAAAGGAACAAGCCCCCACAGAAGAGACAGCCAGCGUCUACCUAAGAACGUAGUUAUCUAACAUAGCGAUAAAUUAGCUGGUUAUAUCCUGCAAAGUGUGAAAUCUAAUAGUUUUGUUGCAGCUUCUUUCUUUUAUUACCCUCUUAAUUAUCUCUCUGUGAGAGAGGAAGGCAAAAAGACAAAGUAAAACUUAAAACCUGCAAGUUGUUUUUUUUGUAACUUUUUAAUUUCAUUCAGUAACAGUGGAAGAUCUGACUAUGUGAGGUCACUUACAGUCCAGUUUACUCAGAGAGUUAUUUAAAUAAGAUAACAUUGACAAACAGGAGCAGAUUAGUCGACUUCACACACAGUUGAUGGAUGAUUUAGCAGAUAAUAACAUAACAUCAGAUAAUAAGCGCUACAUUAAGCUCAAACAACAAACAGUUUGUUGUACUUUUGAUGACAACCUAAUAUCACAUUAACCAGAAUUGUCAGAAUCUCAGUUUUGAGACAUUAUUACUGCUUAAUAUCAAAAUUAUUAUUAUUCUUUGUGUACCACUACACUUACCACUACUUUUGCUUCAUUUUGCCCCCAGCUGAUACCAUGAUGUUGUUGUGAAACCAGAAUUUAAAGGGAGGAUACAAAACUUUCAAUCAAAGUCCAUCCUAAUCAUAGACAGGGCAUCUUUGGGCAGCAAGGUGUGGCUGCAUGGCUAUAAGUAGGGUGACCAUACGUCCUCUUCUACCCGGACAUGUCCUCUGUCCAGCCUUGUCCAGGGGAGUUUAUAAAAUCCUUCAAAUGUCCAGAGUUUGUAUGGAAGUUUGGAAUUGGUGUCGCAUGGACUUACUGAGUUAGAAACAUGUAAGAAAAACGCUUGACCCGAAAAACUCCCAAAAUGUACUAUGCGCGACUCAGUGACUCCACCCCCGUGUAGUCAUGCCUUCUUUUUGGGGAUUCAGAAUAUGGCUACCCUACUAUAAGCCUGUUUACAACAACUGUUUAUCUGGUUGUCUCUGCGAUGAAGAGCCUGAUUUAUUUGUUCUUGCUAAAACACAGCAUGUUCUGUCACAGAUAGCUGUAACAGAGAACAGGAGGACCUGAAUGCUGUCAGUCUGUUGAGUUAACAUAAAAAAGCAGCGGGAAUAGGCUUCACUGGUUUUUGAGAACAAGACAAAACAUAAAGCUGAGCUUCGACUUCUGUCUUCAAAAGAUGGUCAAAAAGUGACUGUGUACUAGCAACAGUGGGAGAGGGGUUUAACCAUCAACCAUCAAUCAGCAUUAUAGUCUCCAACGAGUUAAUCAGGAAGAAGGCUAAAGAAAUGUAGUCCCGGUAGACUUUAGUGCAUGUGCUGGCUGAUGGAAAUAAAGGCUGAAUUAGUAAAGUAAACCCCACUUUUACUGUGCCAAAGUCUUACUCAAAAAUAAUUAAAAACCUGUCUCCUAUUGAUGUCUGCCCUAAAUAGAGGUAAGGUGAGUUCAUAAAUUGAAACUAAUAAAACCGUGAGCUACUAAUUGAAGUUUUAUUGUAAUCUGAUUAGAUAAGUGGCAUUCAAGGAGUGCUGAUUCAGAGUACAACAAGUACAACAGCAUUGGGAUGCUCAGCUGUACGCAUAAUUCCACUUUAGGGGUUGAUACUAAAAAAGUUAUCAAACAUGGCAUUAUUGAUCAACCAGGAACCUCUGAAACACACAUUUGCCAAGAAACAUGUAACAGUCUCUCAUUUUAGAUGGCAAUAAAUGGAAAUGUACAGACUGAUGUGCAAAAUACAGACAAGCAGCAUUCAGUGAGGAGCAACAUAAGGGAAACACAGCCGUAGUUUAGACAACUCGAUUUAAAGCUCCUAGGAGGAACGUUCAACGUGUGUCAAUUUUGGCGCCCCCUGUGGACAAAAUUAGUCUUGGCUUAUUUUGUCGCCUACAUUCUUAAACAGUAUCCUCCAUCAAGAUGCCAUGAAUUUCAGUCUAUUUCAUAGGGACCUUUAAAGAUAAACAAAUACUCUUUGGAUUCUUGUUACUAUUCACCAAUGCAUGGCUCCAGUACAACUAUUGCAUUGAGCAGAAUUGCACGUAGAGCUGUUGCACUAGAUAUCAGCACACUGUGAUCAUCUAUAAGUCCAUCGAAAUCACAGACCAGCCAAUGUUGAGUACAUUGCUCCUCAAUAGUUAAAAGUAUGCCAGAACUCAGGAGUACAAACUUUUGGAAACAGAAGACACACAAGAAACUUGACCCUAGUGUACUUUCCUCACACAAAACCAUACACACCAGACCAGCAAUUCCAAGAUCCCAUUAUUUGCUUCCUCCAAGGAGUGCUCUGCCCUAAUGAUCAUUUAUUGAUACAUUCAUUAAACAUUUAUCAACAUUAACUAAUUGCCAUUUGCUGCCUCUUAAUGAUUAAUGACCCCAAAUUACAGAGGAAUUCUUUGUUUGAUCACACAAUAUUGGAGGCGGUGUAACGGCACCUGUUAAAAUUUCACACUAAAGUGCACCCUAACCCAUUUUGUUUCUCUCUUUUUAUUCCUAAACUCAGUGAGAAAAACAGAGGAGGCACUUAUAAUAGGACAAUUCAAGAGAGACAUUGUGUUUAUUUUGUGAGAUAACCCCAUGCUGUGUGCUUUGAGAAUAUUACAUGAAGAGGAAAUCUGAGAGCUUGGAAGUUUUAUUUGAUGUCCCACUGCUGGGCGGUGGAUGGCCAAAUAUUUUGGCUAAUGUUUUGAUUGAUGUGUUUCUAAAUCCUUCCUCUUCAGCUCAGACUGCAGUACACUGCUUGUCACAAGAUGCGACUCAAAAAGGGAAAGGUUGAUCAAAUAUUUAUUUUUCACCGCUCUCAGUUGGGUUUUAAAGCAAUAAACGCUGAGAAAGGAAAAACUAUUUGAACGUGAAUUUGAGGUGAAGUUUGUUUUUUUUUUGUCACACGAGAGCUUCAUAAACAAAUCAAACCCAACUAUAAAUCCGAACGAUGAAGCACAAAAGAAGUCCUCCUCUUCACUUGUAGAAUAUGCGAGUUAUUGGCUGAGAGCAGGGACUUGUGUGGUCUGAAAUGCUGCAGAGCGUUAAACGAUGUUGAGAGGCUCUGCUGUGGCGUGCAGCUAAUACAAUUUGUUUCCUGUGCCUCUGCUGCUCUGCUAUGCUGGAUUAAUUUUCUGCUUUCACCGCGCUCCCUCUGUAUCCAUCUGAAAGAGGGUAAGCCACCAACCACCAACACAAACGCAGAGACCAGUGUAGAGCCAGGCUGAGCACUGUGUCUUCUUGCACACACACACACACACACACACACACAUAAAUUUGCCAAACGCUCCAUUGCUCAAGCACAGAAAAGGAUUAAUGUGUUGGCAACUGGCCCUCUAGAUCUCCGUUCACAACGCCCACCUCACGAACCCUUCCUUCGACACAAAAACACAUCCUCAGCAUCAUCUCAUCUACACUGAUCUUUUUGUCAGCAUUCGUUUUUAAGGCCAGACAAUGAAUCCUGCUGCUCAGAUGGAGAGUCGAGCUAAAGGUACUAAAGGCUGAGACGUCAGAUACAGAAUAAAGAGCAGCAGCUGAAAAGGAUUAGAUUUAUAAGCCUGUAGAAAGAGGGAGCAGGAGUAGAAAAAGGGACCAAUGCUGGACAACAAGGUGAGAAAGUGUAAAGUGGAGUCAGGUAGGGGGGCUGAGGUGAAUCUUUGGGUGGUAAUGCUAGGGUGUGAGGGCAAAAACUUGGUACAUGGGCAUUUUGGGCUGAAUUUUUUAGUGUUUAAAUCGUACAUCAACUGCAGUUCCAAUAAAGUUGGGAUGCUGUGUAAAAUGUUGAUAAAACAGAUUGUGAGGGUUUUUAAAAACCUUUUAAACCCUGAAUUUCAAUUGAAAAUAGUGCAAAAACAAAAUAUAAUAUGAAGUAGGGCUGGGCGAUAAACCAAAAAUUUACAGAUGCAGAAAUUAAUGACAAUAACCGAUGUCAUUUUGCCCUUGUCAAUAUAUUCAGUGUCAAAAAAAUAAAUAAAUAAAAGUUGGUUUUGGAUGUGUGUAGGUAGACUUUGGUCUCAUGCCCUGUAAAGAUGCUGUCCUACAUCCGAGACGUGACUCCAACCCAUCAAGUCCAUAACAAAGAGGGAAAGACAGGUGAGGAAAUGGAGGACGGUUCAAAAGUUGUAGUGGCUGAAGUAGACAGAGUUAAUGUGGGAGGAGGUGAGCAGCUUGUAGAGUAGUUAUUGUCCAUUUAUCGUUAUCGAGGUGAACUGCUCAAUAUAUCGUGAUAUUGAUUUGAGGCCAUAUCGCCCAGCCCUAAUGUUAUCCUUUGUAGGGCCCAGCGCCAGGUUUCAACCAAUUCUUUACCUCACUAUUUAUUCAUUCAUCCUCGUCCCCUUUUCCACACCCACUAACUCCCAAUCAACCAAUCACAGCAUACCACUUUACCUGGUUCGUUUGAAUCACAUACCUGGAAAUGUUUUUAGUUUUGCAAGAGCAGAACAUCGGAUGGGGGAAAUGAGAAUUAAGGGAGUUUAGAAUUAAGAGUCUGCAUGAGACAAGAGUAUGAUAAUUUAAGGAUCAUGUUCAUCAGUGUAAAGUUGUGAAGAUAGAUCGGUUUAAAGGAGGAAUGUCCAAAACCGAUAUUAAAUGGCAAUGAUCCUCAGGUAUCAUAUAAAGACAUGACUCUAUAGUGGAAAUCACUGUUUGGACUUUUCCAUUUUUCAAAAUUUAGGCACUUUUUUGUAAUAAAAUUGAUUGCUGUCUCUACUUUUCUGUAUCAAAUCAUUUUUUCUAUUUUUAUGUUUAAUACUCAAGUCAAAGGUAGACAGGUUUCUAUGGAAUCAUGUAAAAGUUUCAUCCAGAAUACAAGACAGAGAUACAUAAAAGAGUUUAAAAGGAAGAAUCAUCUUAUUUCUUAUAUUUUUACACUGCAUGUGUUCAUUCCUUGUCCUAAAUUAUUACCUUUGUUACCUGCAGUUUUGACAGGUAGCCCGAGAACAAUUUAUCUGUGUCAAUGAGAGAACAGAAAUAAUCCUGACAGCAUCAAAAACAUCCGUCUACUAGGUACUGAUUUCAAUUGUCUCAGCAGAUCAGCAUUUGCUUUUUCACUGUCAAACAUUCCCAUGGAGAUUUAUCACUGCAUAUUUACCAGUGCAAUAUCUCACCAAAGUAUUUAUUGAAGAUAACAGCAGAGAUCAGGAGCUUUUAUUUUGUGCAUGUCUUACCAACAUUUAAAUUAUGCAGUAGCUCCCCCUGUGGAUAUAGCAGCUCAUACAGCUGUGCAAAGGCACCAAAUCCACACACAAUGUGAGACAACAAGUUUACUGCUGCUCAAGAUGGUAAAUUUUAUCUCUACAUGGAGGUACUUUAUUUCCAGUAGUAAUAUUUAUGUUUGGAAAGACCGAAUUUACCACAAAUCUUUAGAGUAGGUUGGAGGAUAAUACCAAUUUCUAGCCAAAACUUGUCAAAAAGGAAAACACAAGUAUCUUUCCCUGAUUGCUGCUCAUUAUCAUACACUUAAGAGCUGCACGAAGGAUGCACUGAGAAACAGAGAGUAAUUUUGUGCUGGAGGAGACCUCUACCUUUAAAAAGCUACCCACGUGAGGCAAUACUUUCGGAGUUGUUCAAGCAGCUGGAUCGAUUUUUUCUGCUACAGCUAUACUCUCUACAAUACAUUUCCCCGCUGUCAUUCCACACCGAGUGCAGCUGUCUACACAAGCUGGACAGAAACUCACAGAAAGUAUCAUUCUUUUGUAUAAAUUACACAAAAUCAGUCCAAUUUGGCUGCAAGGCUCAUACUUGAAAUUCAGUGCAGGCGUACCAGGACACUUGACUUGUAGAUAAAAGCAACUGUUAGAACCAUAACAGCUUUUUAUUAGGGUUUGCAGCCUGCAUAUAAAAUUUAAUCUUUUCUCUAGUUUGCUGAAGUUCCAGUUACUUUUUCUCUGAAGGAGUGUAACGCAUUCUCACACCACUCUUUAGAUCAAAUGUAUGUUAAGAAAGAAUCCAGUCCUGGUUUAGGUUUUCCCACAUUGUAUCUCUGAGUCCUUACUCCCUUUCACGCAUGUCUAUAACACUCAGAUGAUUGAAAAGCUGCUCUACACUUAAAUUCUUGCACUUUGACAUACAUUUCACAGGCACUCAACCUUUUAGUUAAGACCCUCCUUAUUAAUGUGCUGUGCUCAGCUGGUCACACACACAUAUGCACUCCUGUGUGAAGGGCAUUUCAUAAAGCAUUGCAUUAUUGUUAUUAGAGCACGGGCGCAGUGCCCAGUCGCCAGUGUGGCGUUGAGUGGAAGCAGUCAUUAAAUUUAAAUUGAGCAAUAUUUUUGUGAAGCAUUGAAAGCUCAUGCACAGUAUGUUCAUAUUGACCUGGCACUUCUUGUUAAUUUGUUGUAUAAACUUAACUUUAUUUGCUUUCUCCUAAUGGAUAUGUAUGUUUGUCACUGAAACAUUAUAAUACACCUGAUGCAUGCUGAACAAUUGCUCACUGGCAUCUUUUAUCAGUCAAAAGUACAGUAAUUUUCCAAAAAGUGCAACGCUAAGGAACAUGUAAAUAGUUUUUAAACUGACUCAAAGACACUCCCACAUUGAAUAAGUCAACACAGGGACAUUUAUAAAUGUACCUUGUGUAUAAAAAACAUCUGCAUCUUUCAAAUUCAGCCAGAUCUUACAGUAUUCAGCUAUUAUUAAUAGUGAUGCCUUUCUCCUCCUCCUCAGUUGAUCAAGUUCACCCUCCAACGCCUGCCAAUCAUCCUGCUGUCUGCUUUGAAAUAGUCUGUGUAGCCUGAGGCUGUAGUAACUGUUGUAUCUAAAGCCACCGCAGACUCUGACAAAGCAAAAAGUCAGUUAAAGCAGAAACAGUAAAAAAAGAAAAGGAUCUAAAAGUACUCGUGCAAGUUUUUGAACAGCAUUAAGGAGGCGUUCUGCUGCAGAGCUUGUUUUUUAGACUGCUUUUUCCCAGCUAAGGGAAAUGUUUAUGAUCUCUCCAGUGUGAUUCAAAAACUUUAAGAUGGGGACUAUCUUUGAAUCAUUUAGAUACAUUACUUAUAUUUCUACAACACCUAACAACAAAAACAUUUAGAGGUCAGCCUUCAGUUUUAGGGCCCAAAUGCCUUGCCCUUCAACGGCUACAAUGAAGAAAACCCCUCAAAAAUAAAAGGCUUAUACAGGAUUUACAUUCAAACAUUAAUCUAUCGUUUCCGUACCAUUUACCCUGCUCAGGAUUGCAGCUAAUCUCAUCUGCUAUUGGGUGAGCGGUGGGGUACUCCUAGGAUGUGCUGCCAUUCAAGACUGACAGAGGGCUGACUUAUAAGUACAGACAACCAGCCAUGCUGACACUCACACCUACAGCCAAUUCAGAGUGACUGGUUAACCUACAGAGCAUGUGUAUGGACUGUGAGAGGUAUCACCUAGGAACACCACCCCACCCCCCCACACACAGAUGAAGAGUAUGCAAACUCCACGCAGACAGACCACAUCUGACACUCAAACCAGGAAGCACUAACAACUGCACCACUGUGCCGCCUCCAUGAAAUACAAGUACGGGUUAAUGUUACAAACCUGUACUCUCUGACUGAUUCCCCUAAUUGUACGGCUUAUUUGUUUUUAGCAUGGCGCAUACUUGCUCACAAAAGCAUCUAAUUUAGUGAGUUAUUUUGUAUUUGCAAUGAUGCAGCUAACAAGCACUUAAGGCAGCUUAGGCCUCGAAUGCACACCAAGAGGUCAGGCAUAAUGUAGCCAUGUUAAACUGAAGUGCUUAUGCCCUGUAAUCUCCAGAUAAACCCACGCACAUCUAAGGUUUUUUUUAAUGUAAAACAGCACAACAUGAGAGAAUCAAUGUCCUAUUCAUCUUUCAUGUUUUAUAGAAUAAUAUUGUGUAUAGCAGGUUAAAUUGUGCUUUAAUUCCACAUGGUGUUCUGGAGUCUUAUCUUAGAUGCCAGCAGACUGACAGAGCUCUUCUCUCAUUAUCCAUUCAGUCAAAGACUGGCAAAGCAGUUAACUGCAUGGCGCCUCUGCCCCUCAUGCUUUGAUCUUCUCUUGGCAUUCUCUCAGCUCAACCCCGUUUUCAUCGGUGCGCUUUAGCUAACAAAAGAGAGCAGGAGAGGAUAGAUAUCUCCCUGAGAACGCAGAGAUCUCCACCUAGGGACUUCAAAGCAGGCUUUGAAGUUGGGCAGGAGACUGCAGCAUCCACAGAAGAGAAGAGAGGAGCCGCUUCACUGUCCUACUACGCUGCGUCAUUAACUCUUCACUGUUAUUCAUUCUGCCUAGUUAUUGAACGAGGUGUGACUCCCCUCUUGUGUUUUCUGUAGACUCAUAACAUUGUCAUUCAUAGCAGCUUUCCAAACUGUGGCAUUUUUAAAAGUCAGUUUCAAUCACGAAAUUUGUCAAGGGCAGGUUCAAGUAAAAUAAAUAAAUAAAUAAAUGAUUUUAUUCAUGUCCCAUGAAAGAGUCCAUAACAGGAAAAAUCAACACAGUAUUUCUUGAAAUGUGUUUCUAACCCAUAAAGACCAGAGAAAAAACUCACUUAUUCUACUUUAACAGGUAAAAUUAGCAGAGAUAGAUAAUAAUAAUAAUAAUAAUAAUAAUAAUAAUAAUAAUAAUAAAUAAAUAAAUAAAUAAAUAAAUAAAUACUCUUAGUGCUCUGUGGUGACAUUAUUUCUGAUUUAAUUUUUUAUUUUAUUUUUUUAUAUUAAAGGGCAAAUGCUUUUUGUCCUGUACAGUGACACUGACUGAGUUCGCUUAGACUUGGGUCCACUGAUUUUGAGCUUUAUCCUGGUUUUAGUCAUAUUCUAGACAUGACAUUUACCUGGUUAUUCAUGCAUGAUGUUUUCAUAAAACAGUCAAAUUUUUUCAAUCUGAGAAAAAUUAGACCUCUGAGUCUCACUGUGAGCUUGGAUCUAUUAGCAUCAUGAUGUGAAUAUGGCAUAUCAACCUGAUUUCUGGCAACAUUAGGGGAGAGCAAAUAGCAAAUAUUUCAUGUCUCUAUGGGUUAAGAUAUGCAGCCUUGACUGGUUACAAAAGUGAGUUUCUUUGUCGUUCCAGCAGUAAGAUGGUAAGUUGCUGCCAUUAUGUUUGUUUUAUGUAUUUUUUUACUUGGUUUGUGUCAUACUUGCCCAGGUAGUUGGCAGCUGUCAGAAACCAGGGUGAGGUAUACUCAUGGCACAGUAUCCAGUUUUCUCUCUGUGUUCUCCUGGGGUUUCUCAAAACUGGGGUAAGGGCUUACCCCAGUUUCUGAAAUUGGGAUAUGAUGUGUACAUGCACAAACAUAAAAGCAACAUUAUCAAAAACAACCAAAACCAGGAUGCUCUGCUUCAUAUCAACAUACACUCUCCUUCUCUAUAACCACCAGAUGACCUAAACUCACAUCAGAUCAGAUCAGACAGUAGCUUAUCAUUCAAUGAUCUUGUCCAUCAAGUGACACCUGCCAUCCAAUCACAGUGCCCUCUGAGUGCAUCAGAUUUACCUACUGCAUCAUGAAAUGACACUGAUGACACAGGUUACUUACAGGAAUUGUAUUGUUCUUGUAUGUUUAUUCACAUGUGUGGAUAAAAAUGUGGCAAAAACAAGUAGACAUUGCUGCCAAAAAAACUCUUAAAUUAUGCUCAGAUGAAGGUCAGUGGUUUAUUUUGUCAGUUGGGGAAAAAGACGAGGUGUGUUAAUAAUGUCAAUUUGAGUAUGACUACAGAUCAAAUACACAUUUUUGCUUGAGCUCAACAUUCACAUGUUGUACCUUUACCGCUGGCACUGAACUUUUUUUUUUUUCUUUAUUUAGUGAAGAAAAAAAAAAAAAAAAUGGCCGCCCUCCUGCUAAUAUCUCCCUUUCAACCAAAGCAUUUUAGGAUCUCUUUCUGAACAAUGACUGCUAGGUUGUUAAUGCUGUGCUGGUUCUCAAUCAUUUACCAGAACAUUCAGACUUUGUUUCUCAAGGAGUUUAUCUUGUUCUCACUGGGGGCAAGAUCCCAAGGUCACGUCUUCGAUCGUUUGUAUUUGGCGCUUCACCAUGUGGGUUUUGCCUGUUGGUUUUAAAGAUACAUUGUGUUGGUGGUGCCUUUAUUUUUCCUUACACCAAACGGAAAAAUCUGUCUAAUCUAACCUUUGGGCCAUACACUAAAAACGGAUCCAGCACCCAGGUACCACUGUGUUUUCAAUAACCUUUGCCGUUUCUCAGUGAGUGUUUCAGGGUUCUUUUUGAAGUGAAGCAGGAAAAACAGCUGAGGUGCCUCCGUAAACUGAUCUCAGAGGACUUCUUUCUUUGUCUCUGGCAAUGGUUCCACCUCCACCUUUCUCCCUCCUUCCUUUCUACCUUCCUUCUCUUCCUGUCAAAGCAAUAGGGCAGAUAUUGAUUACCUCUGAGUGUUUGCUGUACCUGGGAGUCAUAUGCAUCUUACCAUUCUCUCUCUCUCUCUCAGUUUCCACACAUCCCUGUUUUAUCAUCAGUUUCCCAGGGGGCAAAGCAUCUCAGGCAGAGAGGUUUUCUUUUCUACAGGAAGGCAGUACAGUUUUAUCUGUGCUAACACAUAACUGCUGGUCUAAGGUAAAACAAUGUUAUAUGAGCCUGGGUUAUGAUUUUAAGCUCUGAUUGACAGAUUGUCUUAUGUUUUAUUGUUGCAUUUUUGCAGACAUUGGCUGUACGAACAAAAAAACAGAUCACAUGUAGGGCUACUAAAAGUGUUAUCAGUAAUCUUUAAACUGUGAUUAUGAAGUUGUUAGCCAAAAUCACGUUACCUGUGUCGUUUUCAAGGGCUUUUCUUCUGCUGAGCUCAAGCAGCUCAUUAGCAAUUUGCCUCUGAGUUGUGGGCGGAGACAGCGCUGCUCUGCACACUUCUACUCGAGCUAGCUUGCAGCCUAACAUUGUUGGUGUAGUAGAAGAAGAAGGCAACAUAGAGGCAUGAUAAAGGCUAAUAUCACAAUUAGCUUUAUUACGAGCAUUUCAAACAGCUAACGCAGACGCUUGUGAUUGUCCUCUCUAUUUCUCUGAGCCUGGCCUGCAUAGCGGAGCGGAGCUUGGAGUGGUUACGUAAGAAAUGUCACUGUAUCUGAUCCUGCUGUUUGGGUCUUCCUGAGAUUCACAGCAAUUUGAAUGAAGAAAUACUCAGAAAUAAAAUUUUGCACUUCUUUUUCUCAUGAUAUGUCCUCUAGUAUCAGGAAAUUGCGAUAUGAACAUGAAGAUAACAAGAAAAACAUGAUUUUCAUGGGAGCGUGUCUAAAUAUUCGCAGUAAUGCAAAAAAAGCAAUUUCAACUCAAAAAUUUCGGUGCGAGAAAUUGGUAGUCUAUUUGAUUUUGGGCUUCCAAACUGCUCUAUAAUGACUCAUUUCUAUUUUAAGCAUCCAGCCUGGUGUGACGGUGUGUGUUUGAAGGGACCUAUCAAAGAUAAAAGAGCCAAUAGAACCUGGUUGUCCCUCUUAACAAGCAAUAAGCCCAGAGAAUUAGUAAAGAUUUUCUCUCUUGUCUCUUCUGAGGCUUAUCCCCGCUCUGACCCAACAGACAUGGUUGGUUCAGCUGAGGUGUUGAUGAGCCAUGUCAUCCCAAUUAGAUGAGCACCAAAAAGCAAUCUGUUUGCAAUUGUUGUCUGGAGAAAAUAAGAGUGGAAAGGUAAGACAAAGCAAAGAGCAAAGCAGAAAGAGGUGUUGACGAGCUUUGGACCACCAAACAGAAAAUCGUUCCUUGGACACGAACUACCACAGAGUGACCGGGUUUAUUGAAGCAAGGGGUUUAUUUUAUGUUUUUCUCUGUUGUUUCUUAAAGAAUAUAUGUGUUUUAAACAUUUAUCGGAUACAUUAUUUAUAACUAAAGAAAAAUAUAAAAUGCAUCUAAUAUUGUAUCAUACUACAAUAUUGGAUUCAGUGCUUUUAAUCAUUGCAUGGUGAAAGUACAUACAUAGAGAACUAUUCAUUCCUCUUUUUCAAAUAGUAUAAAUUAUUUAAAGCAACAUUUUAGGCAUUCAUCAAGGAGGGGCACGUCUAGACUCUUUUAAGUGGACUGGCUGGAUUGUGCCACUGACACAGACGGGGAUGGUGCUGACAGGAAUGACACAGACACACUCAAAUAAGCAUUUACUAUGAAUGUUGCAGUAUUUUCAUGGUAUAAAAGAACAUGAUUCUCUCAAUACUGCCUUGGACCUGUAAUGACAUCAAAUAGUAGGUCUUUCUGGUUAAUUAAAAAGUAGUUUUGUUAAGUAUUUAUUUUAGUAGCUUCUUUAGAUUUAGUCUCAGUAUUUUGCUUAAAAUAUCUGUUUGUUUUAGUCACAUUUUUAGUCGUUGCAAAGCCAAAACAAAGUCAUUAUAUUUUAGUCUAAGUUCUCGAACUAAUUCCAUUCUUCAAUCUGAAAUUGGUAUAAAGUUUGUACUAAGGUUUAAACGUGCAAUAUUUCACUCUCUAAACACUUUAACUUUUCUAAUGUCUGAUUCCUUACCUUAAUUGGAUAAUUAAGUAAAAACUCUCCCACAAUGCAAUGCUGCAAUGCUGUCCCUGCUGAUCUAUUAGAGCAAUUUAGACGAUUGAUCCUCACUCCAAGUCAAACAUUCUUUCUGUGGCCACUAUGGCGACAGACACUCAGUUCCCUGAACCCUCGGCUGCUUCCUCAGUGAUUAGAAGUUCAUCAUUACUGUGAUAUGGGUGUCUAAACCUGCUCUCCUGCAAAUCAUUAAACUCAGAUAAAAUGAAGAGUAGACACGGAACAGCUAAGAAUGGCUGCCUCAGAUCCUGCCAUGGGAAAAUGUUGGAUACUGAUGAUAGUGGUGGGUGAGACGAUUUUGAAAUAUUUGCCCCAUACCAAGAAAUGACACAUGAUGAAAAGUGAUGGGAAAAUAACAAACUUCAGUAUAUGCAGACUGCCAGACUUUAGUGAUCUACAUGUCAAGGAGUACAGAUAUGAGAAGCCACUUGGUAAAUCAUCUCCCUGAAAAGUUUCAAAGAAAUGCAGGAAAAAUGCCCAGCAAGGCCAAAAGACUUCAGAGGAAAUGUUUCCAGCAUCGCUUCUUAGUUACAGUGUGAGAGCUCAAGAGAUCAGGAGACGAUCUACUGAAUACAUAGCAGAAGACCUAUGGACAUUUUCUGUAAUCAACAAUGAAGGAUUCACAACAUUACAGCUGGAGUCAAAGUAUAAAUUCCCAUCACGGCUGUACAUAAGUCAAACACUAUUACCAGCUCUCCAUGAAGAGACGGAGGCGAUGGUAAGACAGAGCCUCAAGCAAGAAGAGUGCAUCUCACACACCAAAGAUGGACUACAUGAACGGCUCUGAACGGCUUUUUCUAAAGUCUUCAUUUUCCUUCUUUUAUAUAGGAAUCCUAGCAUUUAACCUCUCUGACUUCACUGUCUACUUAAACAACUAACAACUUCGAGUAUUAUAAAGUCAUUGUAUUCCUGUUUGUUUUAUUUAAUUUUUUUGAGUAAAGAAAUACAAAAGAGUGGGAAACAGAGUGAAGUCACUCAGCAAAGACAAUGGGUAGCAUUUUGAAUUAGAGAAAGCAACUGUCAGUUAGUUUUAACACUGCCAGAGUAGCAGAUUUAACACGUCCUACUGCAAACCUGAAAAAAGGCACAUCCUAGGAUUUUUGGAUGGCCAACCAUGUUUCGGGAGUCCUAUACCACCCUUCAAACUUAACCCUAUUACCAAGAAUGAGUUCAAAGUGACAUCCAUCUUUAAAUUUGACCCGGUUUGACUUUUAACAGCAGUAAAAAAUACCCUAAACAUCAUUUUUUAAGCCUGAAACUUGAUGACUUUUCCUGAAGUUUCCCAAAAUACAUGAAAUUAAUUUAAAAAUAUUCAUGUGUAUUUUUGUUUAUUUUAUACACAUUUUUCCCCUCUAAGGCUGUUAUGGGUCAAAUUUGACCCGUAUCUAUAUUUAGAUGGAUUUUACAUCUGGCAGUGUGGGACAAGUGACAAACAGUAACAACAGUGUUCAAUAUAAGGUUUGUUGUUCAAAAAGAUAUAUUCAAAUCAUUAUGAAACUAUCAUCAGACAUACAGUCACACAGACACACCUAGACAGAGGUCAAAAUGACCUAACUAGUCAAGAGAACUUUCUGUGACAGAAAGCUGCUCUUUGAACUCUUUGAAGGGGCAAUUUUGACCCGGAACAUACUGUGAGGGUACAGGAUUUGAACAGUAUGUGAGGGUUAAACAAGAGGCAAAAACUUUUUUUACUCCAAAAUAAAAAAUUUCAAACACGUUCUGUAAUAUUGAUCACUCUUCUCCUGUUUUAUUUCAGUGAAAAUUGCUUCAGUCUUUGACUUGUUAUUCAAAUCACCCAGCUUGUUGGGGCUUAAAGGUUUCCAUUUAGUCCAAAAACUCAAACAGAACCAUCCAUCAACAUGCUUUUCUGAUGAAACUCAUCAAUCAAAGACAACACAGAAUGUUAUUAUUUCAGAUACAUGUCCUAGAAAAUUACUUCAGUGUACUUCAGACAAAAUGGUGAUAAUGGCCGAAAGAUAAAUAAUUCCUAUCAAAUAUUUAGGAUGUGCAUCUAGUCUUUUUCAUUUACCAAUAAUGUUUGUUAAAAGAAAAAAAAAAAAUAUUGUUGCACUGACUACACUCAGAAAGACAAACUGAUUAUUGUACACGGCCUCACCCCUUCUUGUGUGUACACUGUAUUUUACCGUUUCUAACUGUACAAAUAUUUCUCUCCUCCAAGUAAUGUCCUUGCUGUGAAGCUUCAACCUUGGACUCUUUCGCAAACACAGAAACAGAGCAGAUGGGGACUGGCAGGAUUAGGUUUCAUUUAUGUAUGUGGGUAAAUGAAACAUUUCCUCUUUGGCCUUGACUAAAGUCUCAAAAGACUAUAAAACUUUGGAAAUAGGCAAAAAACAAAAAGGAGCACAAGAAAUAAUGAGAUAGUUAUUCUGGAUAGUUGCCAUUGCACUUCUGUGAUUGUGUUUUUUAAUUUUUCUUGACCUCUCAGUGGAGCGGAAUAACAAAUAGACCGUUUUACAUUCAUGUCUUUGCCUCCUGUCAUAUUAUAGCCACAAAUGCACAUUUUAAUAAGGCAGAGGACAGGUUAGAAAGAAAGAAAAAAAGCGCAUACAGUAUGCAUAAAGCAACAAGAUAUAACCAGCAUCUACAGGGCAAACUUUUUAAAACAACAUGCAUUAUUCUUGCAACAUUUCCUACACUUCUUUUGCAGCUAGUUUUAAAUAAAAUCGAGCAACAACUCUUCUAAUGUGAGUCGUCUUACAUUUUUUUGACACAAAUGUUUUGCCUCGACUUGCUGAAUCAUCCAGAAAGUGAAUCACAAGUUUUCAGAGCAUAAAUAAACCCUAUAUUUACAAAAAUAAAUCUUUAAUGUCCUGCGGCUACGUCGCUACAGUUAACACUUUUUCUGACGUGCACUUAGUGAAAACCUCUCAGAGCCGGCACCUUGAAUAUGCAAUCUAGGUGUAAACACAGAGGCACUUUGUAGCGAUGCAGAAGCCUCAACAACCCUUGUCACCUUCCUUUCAGCCUUAGCAAUCGGUCUGUUCUUGAAUGAUACAGCAGCCUUUAGAAAACGCUUCAGGUGUCAGCUCUUUCCUGGACAGUUUUAGCUCAUAUUUUUGGUCUGCCAUGAAUAAAUAAUGCUGGGCUUUUAUGACAGUGACAGCAAGAAGUCGAGACACGGCUGAGAGGGAGAAUGGAAAGGGUGUAUGUAUGUGUGCGAUACAGGGCAUGCAUGUUUGUGUGUGUGUGUGCAGUAUGUAGUGGAUGCAGCUGGACUGGAUGUAUUAUUGAUGUGCUGUUAGCACUCCUGGGUAGUUGCAGUCUCAUCAGAGUUUGCCAGGGGAUUAACAGACUCGAAAAAGCAAACCAGGGGAACAGAGAAAAGGCACGGAGAGUAUCCCUCAUCCCGCUCUCCUCCCCCCUCUCCUCUUUGCUGAGACCAGCCAUCAUUUAAAGACAGAAGGCAUUAUCUUCAUAUGAGACAUCUGGCUGGGUCCGACACUGUAGCAUUAUUGAUUAGUUUUGAUUUUCUUUUAAUGGCCUGCUACUGCGGCACAAUUUUCACAUGGAGCCAUUUCUAAUGACUUCACAUUACACAUUUGGCACAGUAAAGAGAUGGCUAACCAGUUUUCUGGUAAUGCGUCUGUCUCUCUUGUUUACUAAAUGUCUUGUCCUUUCCCAAACAGCGCAUAAAAAUGCGUGUGUGCUCAUUUACACACACAAAGUACACAGUAAAACAGUGAUCCACGGUACAGGCCUCGCCGCGUUUCACUCCAAGUUGUGUCAUCCUCUAUUAUGAUUUGAUUACAGCAACAGAGAGGAGCCACUGAGGAUGAGUGGAUGGAUGGAGGAGCAACAUUCAGACCGAGUCCCCCAGAGAUUUUGCGCAUCCCCCUGGAUUCCCCUGAGCAGGUUCAACAGCUUCAAACAUUCCUUUGUUCCCCCGUCCAUUAAAGCCAUCAACACCACCAAGGCUUCAAUGCAUGUGUGCAUAUCUGUGCCUGCAGUUUUCAAUUAUGGUUUGAUUAUUAGUCAUAUGAUGAUGUGAACAGACAUGUUCUCUUGGUAGGGCUGGGCGACAUAACGAUAAUGGUAUAUAUCAAAAAUUAAUUUCCCUCAAUAUCGAUAUAAAACAUGGUCAAUGUGCUUUUCAAUAGUUGGCAAUCUGCAAUGUUUUGGUAGACUAUAUGAAUAGCAAAUGAAACGGGGAGUCACUUUGGGUCCGCUUCGCGCUGAACCAAUUGUGAUGAAUUAGAACCAAGUAGCAAACAACUGCAUAGUAUCAGGCUGCAGCUACAUGCAACUAUAGCACUUUAACACGUGAAACCAACAGCACUGUUGGUGAGAAAAAAACAAAACGAGUGCUACCCUGGUAGAAAUGCAGAUGAAAGCUCAACAGAUGACGACAUCAUCUGCAAAACUGACACGAAAACGUUGGUGGUGUGAAGGUAUUUUGUUUUUUAAAGUCAGACGUGAAGCAGAGUAAUGUGCACUGCAAGUUAAGUUAAGUACAUGUUCUUGCAAAUUUGGGAAAUACCUCAAACCUUUUCACCACCUGAAGCAGCGCCAUGCGGCAGAACAUGCACAAUGCAAAAGGUUACAAACCCUGAGCGGAGCAAGGAGCUCAUGGCGCUGCAGCCGAAACAGCCGACCAUUCAGUCCCCUCUCUCAAGCACAGAUGUAGCUUAAUGUAUUGCAAAAGACAUGCUACCAAUAAAUUACAUUUUUUAAGUUAUGAUAUAUAUCGAUAUUGACUGAUAUGAAAAAAUAUAUCAUGAUAAACUUUUUCCCAUAUCGCCCAGCCCUAUCACAGCAUAAGUAUCACAGCAUUGCAAAGUCAAAUGUAAAUUCCCCACAGAGCUGAUUAAGUCUGUCUCAUCUUAUUCUUAUUUCAUUCAUCUGUCUCUUGAUGUCCUCUGGAUUUAUGAUUGAAAUUUUUUCUACAUCAUAAUAAUAUAAUAUAAGAACUCAGGGUUCAUUGGUGCCCUGAGCAAGAAUAGUACCUGGUGCCGAGUGCAUCUCAAUUGGCCUGUGCCUUGGGCCAGCCCAGACAAUGGUUUGUAAGUCAACUACUGUGCAUGUCCUGAAUUUCUGUUGGAAUAUUUGGUUAAAUUACGAAGGUGGAAAAAAACAGCCAAUUCCAUUGCCAAAGACAACUACUUUCAUGACAUUUAAUCACCUUUUAUCUCAACCUUUGCAUGUUAAGAACAACAUUAAGAACCUACAAGUGUAACAUUUCCCAAUCAACACAAUACACUAAUCACAGCAAAGGCUAAAAGAAAGAUUUGCAUCAGUGGACGAUGGCGCUAAAAGAAUUUUCUGACAGUCACUAACAGCUUCACCUCCAGUAGUUUUUUCUUCCUUUCAGAUAUUGAAGUCUGCACUUAUGCAUGGGAUGAGACAUUUAACAGUGCUUAAAGCAAUGCUGCUAAUAAGACAAAUUUGCAAGUUUCCUUUCUCAAAGUUUUUGUGAGGUUGCUGUUCAGUUGAAGUGUCCAGAGGAGGAACUUGAAAGAAAGAUCGGGGAUCUAGAAAGGGAUGAUUCUGUUCAAACUCCUUCUCUUAACUGAUAUUAAGCAUUUCUGCUAGUUUUUUUUUCUCUCCCUAGAAUAAUAGCCUGUUUAAAAUGGAUGUGCUCUUGUGUCAGUGUGUGUGGAAGUAUAGAUAUGUUUUGAAUCCUUGAAUCCUUAAAUGUGCACACAGAAGCAAAAAACAAACUGACUUUUUAUCCAUGGGUGUGUUUGUGUGUGAAGCUCCAAGGUGUCUCAGCACAGCAGGAGAAAUACGUUCAGCGUGGGGGCACCUUCAGAGAGUUGACGCAAAAAGCAGAUCUCAGCCUCCUGCCAGGCCUGACUCUAGUGCGCCAGGAAGACGGAGAGACUUUAGAGAGAGGGUUUCAGUCCUGGGAAAUCCACCCUGAACCCACAUUAAAGACUGACGAUGCCAGACCGCACCAGCCUUGAAGAUCAAAUAGAGCAAAUAUGCAAGCUGUGAACCAAGAAGGUUCUGCCACGCCGGUGUUUAAUUAUUGACAUUUACAGCACUGCAAGUUGGUUCUGUCGACUCAGCACGAGCAAACGCACUUACAUUUUACUUUAACCCAAUUAGUUUCAUCAGACCGAGGCUUGUCUGAGUUGCACUGUGAUGAGCAAGCGGUAAAUAAAGUGGAACUCCAGCGCUGGAUGAAAGAAACCAACACAGAAUUUACAUACACUUUGAAACUAUGAAUAAACAAAACAGAGGAAAACUGUGUUUCAUCACAGGAGUAAAUGCAUAUAUUGUUGGCUAUGCACAGGCUAACAUCUAUGAGUUGUAGGGCAUGCAUUAUUCAUUAAUACAAUGCUUUAUAAACAUCAGCCUCCGCCCAUGCAAUCAUUUGAGCUCUUUAUUAGUUGUGUUUUGUUAAUAAUAACCCAUAAGACAUUGCUGCUUCUGUGAAAUAACCUUCUCGUGAAUGAUCGAAAAAGCUGCAUCAGUAGCCUUCAUAUACAACAUCUAAGCCUUGGCUCUAUGACUGACAGCUGACAAGGGUUUCCUCCCAGACUAGGAUCUAUGAAGCUCACAUCCCGGGGUACCCUCAUCCUAAUAUAAUUCUCUGUGCGCUGUGAAAGCCUGUUGCUCUCCAAAGCAAAUCACAUUAAGGUGCUAUGGGGUUUUAGACAUGUGUCUUUAUCCCACCGAGCAGGCACAGCAUGCAUCCAGCCCAUGUGUCAUUUCCUAUAGACCGCACCCUGACUGACACCAAGGAGACAGUAGCUCCUUUACACAGCCAAUUUUACAGCACAGAGCAAUGGGAAACGGAGGUGCAAUGCUAUAAUUCCCACCAUGACUGCGAUUGCAGCAGCUUGCAGGAUAUGGAAAAUGUAUUACUUUGAAAAUGUUUAAAGACUGCAGCUAAUGGAGGACUAAAGGAAAAGGUCAAGCAGCAGAUAAAUAUACUGUGCUCCAAUGAUGAAUAUAGUCCAGGUUCCAAGGCCUAUGUAAGGCAUGAUGUAUGGUUAACAGGUGGUUAUGUAAAUUAGAUUCAGGCAAGGUUUGUCUCCCCCUGAGGAGACUUUAUGAGGAUUGAUUUGAUACGGUGUGUGUGUGUGCUCAGGUUGUCCCUGGAAUUGCUUUUGCUUUUGAGAAGUGGCUCACUUUGUCUUUGGGUUUUGACCAAUCAGAAUCAUAAAAUUAACAAAGCUGGGUCAUUAGUAAAGAAGCUGGGUGAUGACGUGCUGUAAUUUAUAUACUCAGACUGUUUUUCCCAUGCAGCCAUUUGCCAGUUUAAGCCAAACCCUCCAGUCGAAGGCUGAUUUGUUUGGUUAAGCGGUAUAUUGUUAAAAGAACUGAUGAACGCUGGCUGCUACGUAUAAAGCCCAUCAAGUGUGGGGUCAAGUGUAUUGCCCGAGGACACUUUGGCAUGUCGACAGUUGGACCUGGGAUCAAACCUCCGACCUUCUCUUGGGAGAUGAUUGACUCUACCACUGAGCCACAGCCACCCCAGAGUACAGUGAGAACAUCUGACAGUAUCUUCCUGUUAUAUGACUUGUUAUCAAACUAUCUGUACUGUGUCCUGUAACUUACCCUAGGGUGACCAUACAUCCUCUUUUACGCGGACAUUUCCUCUUUUAGGGGGGCUGUCCGGCAUUGUCUGGGGAGUUUAUAAAAUCCUUAAUGUCCAAGGUUUUGUAUGGAAGUUUUGAGUUUGUGUCACGUGGACUUACUGAGUUAAAAGUGAGUAAAAAAGACUAGACCCGAGCCAAAAAACUCUCAAAAUGUACUACACGCGACUCCCUGACUCCACCCCCACGUAGUCAUGUUCUCUCAGAAUAUGGCCACCCUAUCUUACCCCCACUUUCCAGUAAGGUCAUCAGCUGCAAUAAACUAACAAAGAAUCACAUAAAACCGUGAAGAGCCUUUUUGAUUAUGUACUGCAUUGUUUUCAGAAUCCAUAAAUAGAAACUUGAUCUUUCUGUUUAUCAGCAACAUUUACCAACUCGCCCAAACACGUUUAUUGCUGGAGAGGGGGGUUGAUGACUAUAGUCAGAAGAUAGGACAGUGCUGAUAGCUGGAAGAUUAUCAAAGAGACUUGGGAAUGACAUGUGGCAAAGGACGGCGGGUCAGAUCGAAACCUUGAACCCUGGCUAUCCAUUGAGGACUAGUCAGGGAAAGAAGAAAACCCUUAAGGGGCAGAUUGCUCAACCUUCGCAGAGUUUUACUAUUAUCAUGGGUUUUAUUUGUACACAAACAAACCAAUCAAUGUCCAAGCAAGAGACAUGGCUGCACUAUAAAGUGUCUGUGUUUGUCUGGCAGAUGUUGAUUCUCGAUAGUUUCUCAUGGUGUGAGACUGAAGCAAACAAGUUGCCCGGAUUGGUUACAGUAAAGAUUUUUGAACUCCUGGCAAAAUCUGUGGAGGACAGAAAGGCUGCUGUCAGACCAUCAAAAUGUAACAUUUUACAACAAGCCUCAGGUCUCAGGUGGUGAGUGACAGCUGCCAUUCCUUCAAUAAGCACACCCUGUUAGAUAUCCUUUAUCCUCACUGCAGUCAGUCAUCUGAGUUAAAGCAGGAUACCUUGAUCCUGGGUGUACAGAAAAAGAGUAUACUAUGAGUUUGCAGGUGCAACAUUACAGUGUUUUUAUUUUCUGUUUUCAUGCAUAUUCUAGUUUUAGACUUUGACUGAGAAUGAGGCAGAUUUACAGCAGCAGUAAAACCUUUUAGUUGGAUUUCGUGCCGCAUUUUAGUGCUGUUAAAAACUUAACAGUAACCUUGGGUGUAAGAAAACGUACAAAACUUGGUGUGUUUGAUGCAAACAAUAAAAAAAGCAGCACAUGUCCUUUCAGAGCCAGGAUUACUGAGUGCUGACAAAAUUCUGUCAUUGUCUUUGGAUGACAUUUGAAAAGAAAUUAAGGUCAAACUCAACCAACCUGCUAAUUACUUUUGUCAUUGUCUUAGAGAUCUAUUAAUGUUCAACACCUUUAGUUUGACUCCCUGCUUUUAGAGUAUUUUGCUGACAAUUUUUGCAUCUAUCUGUUUUUCAUUCAUCACUUGUCUGCUUUUAAUUAACUGCAAAUCUUCGAUUCAUCAUAAAAAUGACUUUUAUAAUAUUCAAAAUCAAAGUCCUGCGAAGCUCGGACCAUAAGAUAUGUACAGUCAUGACAGCAGAGAAAGUGUUUGACUUUAUUUUUCUGCUUUUGCCCAUUUUUCUAUCCCCCUGGAAAAAAAGAGAAAAAAAACAAGAACCUUUCAAACUGUCAGACCUUAGUGACCUCUGUCCAUGCCAAACUGUUUAUCCUGCAUCUGCAUCAGCUUAACCUUGUCAGUCUGCAGCCUUAUUACCAACACCGCUUAUUCCAUACAUUACCAGCGCUUGCAGAUGGAGAAUGCUCAGCAAAAGCAGUCAGGCAUAACUAAUCACUCUUGCAGAUUGGUUCCUGGUUUUGACAGCUAGCUCUGGUGGCUUGAGUGUCUGAUUAUGUGCAUAAAUAUGAGUGUAUGAACAGGUUGCCAUUGUCCUCACUGGUUCUUUAAAAAAACAGACUCAGAGGCAAGGUCAUGACAUUAACCCUUGUUUUUUAUUUUUUCUACCAACUGGACAUGUGUUUUAAGAAGUCUGAAAAAACAGUGAGAAGUAUUUUGGAAUAACUUAUGCCCCUUGGGUAAAAUGUGUCCACUUCUCUUCGUGGGAGGUUUGCGAAAACUUCUUUUUUAUAGUUUGAGAAGCAAAACAGUCAUUUCAUUUGAACUGCUGCCCAACCAGCGAUUACUCUUUAUUCUGAGAGAUCCCAAAUGGAGAAAAAAAAAAACAAGCUAAAAGCAUUUAAUCAUUUUUCUUUGGAGGAUUGAUUUGAUUAGUCUCAACAAGUGACUGUGGAGGGACAAUUUUUCCUGUUUUGUGUCAAACACCCAAUCCGGACACGGACAAAGAGCACAAGAUGCAGACUGUUGCUGUCUCAUUUCAGGCAAAAGAACGAUUCCAAAGGGAGACAUUAGUCUGCAAGUCCGUUUUUCACUGCGGAGCGGCUCCUCUUAGUACAGCUCCAGCCUGACAAUUCAAUCCUCUGUUUUGUUUUCAUGGCAGCAAAAAAAGGGAAAAAACACAUCUGAAUGCACAGAGCAGUCUCAGCAGCCCUGACUGUAAAUGAGGCUCAGGCAUUGUUGUACAUCACAUAAAGACCAAUGGGAGAAAACUCACAGUUCUCAUUUAUUAAAAUGCAUGAGGAUUUUCUGGGGUCUGGUCUUUUUUGUUUAAGGGUGAUUUUACUUACAAGAGAGCAUGGUCUGCCUUCCGUUAUGUUCCAAAUCAUUGACCUAUUGUAACUUCCUUCAAUCUGGAGGUGUUACUAGUUUGGCAUUUUUAGUUGUUGUUCGACUUGAGGUCAUGAGCUUUUAAAAAAGAAAUUAAUCAAUCCUCCAAAGUGCCAUAACUUCACAAAAAUGUUUUCAUCUGACCUUGCUUAACAGCAUUAGAAAACGUCUUUAUUUACAAGCAUUUAUUUCCUUCUCUUCUCUCUUUUCCAAAUUCCAAUCUCUGCCAAGCAAAAGCAGUUGGUUUAAUUAGACUUUUAUCUUUUAUUGUCGAUCUAAUUUUGGGUGGGGGAAUGUGGUCUAGUUCCAUUAAAAUUAAUAGAUGAAGUACAAUUAUUGUUCGCUGACAAAGAGUUGCAUUGAAGUGGUAUGGUCAUUUGAGGCUGAGAUUAUGCAGGGAUUUUUUUUUCAAGAUGUUGUUUACUGUUAAUCAAGGCUGAUUUGUAGUAUCCAGCGAGCUUAUCAUUUCCUGAAGCAUGGCUGUCUUUAGUGAUUACUAUCAAGCUGUAAAUAAAUUAUUUAACCAGGGUGUAUCAACAUCUGCGCUCGAAAAAUACUGGUCAUCAACCUCCAUACUUUCAUGAAACCUAAUCAAAUACAGGUGCAGGUUCAGGUCUCAAUAAAUUAGAACAUCAUGAAAAUGUUGAUUUAUUUCAGUGAUUUAAUACAUCCUUGAGCAGGGUGUCAAUGAUCGUCUGCUGGGCAACUUUCAAGCGGUCUUCCCUGUGACUGUGUGGCCCACUGAUCCACACUGACAGAACAUUUAAACGCCCAGGACAUCUUUGCAGGUGUUGAGUUUCUAAUUUUGAACUUAUUUACAAUACUCUGAUUUUCUGAGGUACAGAGUUUUGGUUUUAGUGAGCUGUAAGUUACAAUAAUCAAAGUGAAUAGGAAUAUACUCUUAAAAUAUAUAAGUCUGUGUGUGAUGAACCUAUAUAAUAUAUAAGUUUCACUUUUUGAAUUGAACUGAUUUACUGAGAUGCACCUAAAUAUUCCUCACACUUCAACCUUGUGUUGGGAUACAUCAACCUGACAUUACGAUACUCUGAAGACCACUGUUACAAGCAGCAUUCCUGUGCUGUAUGAGUAAAAGAUAAAUGAAAAUGCUUCAAAAAGGCAAAAGCUGCAUUUGCGCAAAGGACAUAACAGAAUCAAGACAAUGAAAUUUAAUAAUAAAGUAAAUCUAAUUUAGCACUUUGUCUGAAAAGUAAAAGCAAAGUUUGUGACUGGCUUGCUUUAAACUGAUUUCAUCAGGCCAAAAUCUUCUGCUUGUGGGGGAAGAAAAGAGAGAGCAGAGGCAACAAAUAAGAAGAGACAGCAUCGAAUGAUGAAAUCAGUGAUUCACUGACAGUCAGAGAGCAUGCUCUCUCUCUCUCUCUCUGUCUCUCCCUCUGUGUGUCUCUCUCCCUAACUGAAAACUAUUCAAGUUAAACCACCUGAAAUAGAGUUAGAAGACCAAGUGAUCAGUUCUGAAGACACUGUGAAAACCCCACAAACUGGUUGGCCACACAUGGCCCAGUGGCACUGAUAGUUGUCUGUCAUUUCAGCUGAGCCACCGAUGUAUUAAAAAAAAAUCUGAACCCCAUGGUCCACAUUCAGUCCUCUUAAAGUUAUCUCAGAUUUCCAGGCCUUUGCAGGUUUUCCCCUUUAGUCCCUCUCCAGACAAACCACUUGAGAUUAUUAUCUAGAUAUUAAAAUGGAUGAUGCAAAUCUACCUCCCGCUACUGCUUACACAUGAGGUCAAAGAAAUUUCCAGAGAUAAGGGGUUAGACAUCGUUUGGAGCCGGGGUCAGCUUCUCCUGAUCACCAUAACUCACAUUCAAGGUACCAGAUUUCACCAUCAGUCUGUCUAUCUAUCAACCCAUCUCAAUCAGUGAAUCUUUAUUUAUUUAAUGCCAAUUCACAACAAGUGUUAUCUUUAGAUGUUUCACAAAAAAGCAGGUUGAGACCAUACUGUUUGCAAAGACUCAAUGUAACCCACUCUCAUCCCACCUUCAACCACAUGAAUGUAGCACUUUGCAGCAUUUAGCAAGUUACAGUGGAGAGGAAAAUUUCCUUUUUAACAGGCAGAAACCUUGACUUAAGCAAGACAGUCAUCUGCUGAGACUGCAUUUGGUAAUCAGAGAUGAGACUGAUAGAUGCAGAAAGAGAGAUGGAAAGAGGUGAGACUGAUACAUGUAGUUAGGGAAGAUGGAAAGCAGGCUCAUCCAUGGCUGCAAACUAAACCUACAGCAUGAUGGAGCACAGGGACUCCAGGAAAAAAAAAAGUGGUUAGAGACUUAAAUGAGUCAUGAUGAGUCAAAGUUAAUGACACAGAUAGAUAAAGGAUAAAGAAGAAGAGAAACGUCCUUACAACAAGCUUUACGAAAAAGGAAAAUUUUAAGCCAACUCUUAAAGAGAGAGUGUCUGUCCCCCACACCUCAACUGGUAGAUGAUUCCAGAGCAAAAGGGCCUGAUAACUACCCCCAGAGCACUUAAAGAGACUUCAGGUACAAUAAGCAGGCCUGCAUAUUGGGACCACAAUGUUCUGGUGGGGUAAAAGGGAAGCUGAGCUCUUUUAGAUCUGACAGGGCCUGACCAUGAAGAGCUUUGUAGUUCAGAAGAAGGGUUUUAAACUUUACUCUAAUUUAAGGGGAAGCCAGUGUAAGAGAAGCAAGAACAGAGGGGAAUGUGCUCUCUUCUCCUUGUUUCGGCCAGUACUCAGGCUGCAGUAUUUUGGAAUAACUUAAGACUUGUUGGAGCAGCCUGAUACAAAAGAAUCACAGGAUGUGAGACAGGGUAGGUCUGAUUUUUGAUAUAUUACACAGGUGAAAAAAGGCAGUAUCUCUCUAUCUCUCUAUCUUGUUUAUAAACAACUCUUUGAGAAUCGACUGGGCUCUUUGGUCUACAUAUUGGGUAUAACAAAGCUUCUGUUUUUGUGAGUCCCUGUGUGUGUGUGUGUGUGUGCACUUGAGUAUGCGUGUAUUUAUAGGAAAUCUAUAAAAGUAAUGCCUGGCCCUCUGAAGAAACCUGAUUAGCUUGGAGUUGAGCUCAGAAAUCAAAAUUAAUUUGGAAGAUGCUCCAGCUCUCCACCAUUACCUGCAGGCAGAGCCAUUUAGUUAAGAAAUAGCAGCUCAGACCUCCUACUACAUGCACUGGUAAUAUAAACCGAGCACAAGCAGGAUUUCCAUUGGUCACUAUGGUGCCUCUGUGAUGUGAGCUUUUGGUAUGUGAGGUCAUUAACAUUGCGGCUGUACCAUUAGGAGCACUUCUCAUUGACAUGGUCUCUGAAUACAGGUUAUAUGUUGUAUAGCUAAACAGGACAUUACUUAAGUUUUAGUGACGUGACACAAACAGGAGAACUCAUUCUUCAGACAUUGUCUCUCUACAGAAAUCAAUAAUUUGCUGCAUUACAAUCUGAGGUUAUAUGCUUUAAAGUUAGUCAUUAGGGGCUAAGGGGGAUUUGUGUCUCCCUGCCAGUCAUUCAUUAGCCAAACCCUUGUGGGAGCUGUGUGAUUCUGAGUGUUUGCACGCAUGCAUUCACAUAUGCUCAGUAUCUAAGCAUGUGUGCUUUUGUACUUUGGCAUGCGGUGACAUAUUUACAUUAUUCCAUUCCCCUGCAGAAAUGAGGUUGAGAGAGACAUGCUCCUUUGUACUUGAAGACAACCUCCAAUGGGACUUGUGCUUUUAGCAAUUCUCUCUUAUCUUCUUUUAGCCUUUGUGCUGACAUGUAGGCUGACAUUUUCAUUUGCUAAACUUACCCAAUGUUACAACAAGGUAGCUGAACUGUUUUUACAACAGGAUGGAGCUAUAAAAAGGGUUAGAGAUAACCUGGAAAAGGUGACAUUGUAAUUUUCUGUUUUAUCGAAAUGCAUUUGUGAGCAUCUUCAGUUAAUAAAAGAUACAUUUCAGUCAUGGUUUGCUUAAAGAGGACAGAACUUAUGUCUCACCAAGCUGGGGCUCGAGCAUUGUCAAGUAUAAGUGUUGUUUAGUUUAAAGACGGGCCAAAGCGACACAUUUUUUUUGUGUGUUUUAAAGCUGUGAGGAACUUUUGGUUUGUGUCAAUUUUGGCAACCCAUGCAAACAAGGAGUCUUUGCUUAUCACAUCUGCUUCAUGGUUAAGUGAUGCUUUAGGACAACAAAUCUCAUUCUGCUGACUUCUGACACUCAAAUAUAUAAUUUACUGUUAAUAUCGUAUGUGAAAAUUGUACAGUAGGACUGUUUCUUGAGCUGCAAGGCCUAAACCUACCGCAUCACAUCGGUUUUAGACAAGAAAAAUAUUGUUGUAAGUGUUAUCACUCUAAUCAGUCUUAUUUGCUUUUGUUUAUCGUUAAAAGGCAUCCACAUGAAUUUCAGUCUAUUCUGUAAAUGACAAAAAACUCCUUAUAGGAGCUUUAAAUGGAAAUUUAAGUUCAGAGUUACAGAUUUAUCUAUGAAAAACUAAAAUAAAAAGAGGCAAAACUGAGAACAACGUUUUCAAAAGGCCAAUAGAGUCAAUGGUUGAAUGAUGUCAAACUGGUUAGCAGAGAGAGGCUAACAUUUGCAGAGCAAGAACUACAAGGUUGUUUUUCCUGUGGGUUAAUGUGUGCUUAUUCUGCAUUGUUUUUGUACAUCUAACUAAAUACUGCCUACAUACAACUUUAUCUCUGUUUUUUAGGUCAAAAUACGGCCAAACUGCAUCAGGCUACAAAGUGCCAUCUGCCCACUGAGGUUGUUUACAUCCGGAGGAUAAAGCAGCAGAAUGGUCACACCUCGUACUCGUCUUGAGUGGAAGGAGGUUCAGCAACAGCUCAAACACAACAUCUGACGAUAUUUCAGGCCUGCAAUAAAAAUAAUAACAAAAACAAUAAUGAUUCUUUUAACCACUUUGUAAUUUAUUAAGUAAAUGUUCAC
rnacentral:lncRNA from 1 species